rnacentral:lncRNA from 1 species
UUCCUAUGCUAAAAUAUAUCUAACCUACUAAUAGUCAAGAAAUAUAUCUAUUCAACACAUAUUUGUUAGAAAGAUUAUCUACUAAUUAAUCAUUGAGACGAGAUUACGAAUCUCAACAUAAAUUAGGAUAAAAAUUAAUAUAUUGAAAUUCAGAAUAUUUCAAGCUUGUAAAACUACUUUCAAGCGAAUCUGAUAAAAUUAUUUCAAUACUCGUGGGUGACUCCUUUUUAAACCGCAGAAGGAAAUGAUUUUCUCCUUGUUUGUACAAAUAUAAUUUCUUUUUUCAAUUUUGCCUUGUUUUGCUUCUACUUGAUUAUCAAUUGCACAGCCGUUGACCCUGUUCUAUUUCUAUUUCGUUCACUUCCCUAAAAAAAAAAAAAAGAUGGACAUUUUGAAAAGCAUUGUUCCAGGAGUUGUAAACUGCUUGUCCCCUCACGCACAACGCGAAUUUAGUUACUGGUAUAACUCCGGUGCCAACUUUGAGAAUCUCAAGGCAGAACUCCAUAGGCUCAAGGUUGAAAGAGAAAGCAUUCAGCGCAGAGUUUCUGAGGCUGAAAGAAAAGGUGAAAAGAUUGAAGAGAAUGUUGAGAAAUGGCUGGUUAAUGCGAACGAGAGCAUUGAGCAGGCAGCCAAAUUCAUUCAAGACGAAGAGAAAGCAAAUGAUGGCCGAUGUCUCAUGGGGCUGUUUCCUGAUUGGUUUGCUCGCUAUCAUCAUGGAAAGAAAGCAGAAACAGAGAAGGAGGCCCUUUUUAAACUCCGAGAAGAAGCUGGGAGAUUUGAUGAUAGAAUUUCCUACCGUACCGUUCCGGAGGAUAUAUGGCUCAAGUCUCACAAAGGCUACGAGGCCUUCGAAUCAAGACUUUCUACUUUGAAAGCCAUACAAAAUGCAUUGAUCGUUGUUGAUGUCAGCAUCAUUGGGGUCUACGGCAUGGGCGGCAUUGGAAAGACGACACUGGUGCAGGAGGUCGCCAGGCAAGCUAUGGCAGACAAGCUCUUUGAUACGGUGGUCUUUUCAGAGGUUUCGCAAACUCCAGACAUAAAAAAGAUUCAACAGGAAAUUGCCGAGAAGUUGGGCCUGGAGUUGCACGAGGAAGUUGAAUCUAGAAGAGCAAGUAGGCUAUGUGAGCGAUUGAAAAAUGAGAAAAAGAUCCUUGUGAUUCUGGAUAACAUCUGGAAACCUCUUGAUUUGGGGACUAUUGGAAUUCCUUUUGGAGUUGAGCACAGAGGAUGCAAAUUAUUAUUCACAACAAGAGAUCUUGAUGUGCUGUUAAGGACAGAAUCUGAAAAAAACUUCUCGAUUGGCAUUUUAAAUGAACAAGAAGCCUGGAGAUUGUUCAAGAUAAUGGCUGGUGAUUAUGUUGAAAACCGUGAGUUAAAACCUAUAGCAACAAGGGUAGCCAAGGCAUGUGGAGGUUUGCCUAUUGCCCUUAACCACAGUAGCAAAGGCACUGAGAAACAAAGAGCUGCCUGUGUGGAAGAAUGCGUUGCAAGAACUCCAAACGCCUUCAGAGGCAAGCUUCGACGGAGGAGUACCAGCAGAGGCAUACUCAACAAUUGAGCUGAGUUACAAGUACUUAAGAGGUGAGCAACUCAAGAAAACGUUUUUACUGUGUAGUCUUAUUACGCCAGCACCAAUUAUGGAUUUGUUCAAAUACAGCAUGGGCUUGGGUGUAUUUAAAAGUGUCCAUAAACUAAGAGACUCUUGUUUGUUGCUUGAGGAUGGUGGCAGUAAAUACAUUUCUAUGCACGAUGUUGUUCGCGAUGUUGCCAUUUCAAUUGCAUGUCGUGACAAAAUUGGAUUUGUGGUGAGAAAUGAGGAUGUGUGGAACUGGCCAGAUGCAGAUGCACUAAAAAAAUAUCUUGCAAUUUCUUUUAAAGAUAGUAUUGUUAAUGACAUUCCUGAAGGGUCCGAAUCUCUACAACUUCAACUUCUAGUCAUGUCUCCCAAGAACUCUUUUUCUGUGCCUAAUAUUCCUAAGAACUUCUUCAAAAGGACGAAAAAGCUUCGGGUUUUGGAUUUGACUAGAAUGCGGUUAUUGUCAUUGCCAUCUUCAAUUGGUCUUCUAGUAAAUCUUCAGACACUCUGUCUUAAUCAAAGCAUUUUGGGAGGCAUAGACAUAGCCAUUAUUGGAAAGUUGGAAAAUCUAGAAAUCCUCAGCUUUUUGCAAUCUGAUAUUGUAGAGUUGCCUAAAGCACUGGGUCAACUGACUAACCUAAGGCUGUUAGAUUUCACAGACUGUUUCCGUCUGAAAGUUAUUGCCCCAAAUGUCAUAUCAAGCUUAACCCGAUUAGAAGAAUUGUAUAUGGGUAAUUGCUCCAUUGAAUGGGAGGUUGAAAGAGCCAACAGCAAAAGAAGUAAUGCUAGCCUUGAUGAAUUGAUGCAUUUACCUCGGCUAACCACUCUAGAAAUUGACGUUAAAAAUGACAGUAUGUUACCAGAACGUUUUUUGGCCAGAAAGCUUGAAAGGUUCAAAAUACAUAUUGGAAAUGAGUCAUUCACGCAUCCCAUGAGAGUCAGACAAGCUUGGUUUAAAAGUCGGCGACACUUUUAUAUCGACAGUGAUUGCAAGAGUUUAAGAGCAUUGAAGCUCAAGCUUGCUUUUACGGACAUUUGCUCCAUGAAAUUGCAGGGCGUCAAUAGCGUUGAAUACUUAUUGUUGGACAAGCUGCGAGGUAUCAAGAACGUUCUUUUCAAUUUGGACACGGAGGGCUUUUCACAAUUGAAGGUUCUCUGGGUUCAAAAUAAUCCUGACUUCUUUUGCAUCGUCGAUUCAAGGGCGAUGGUCGCUUGUGAUGCCUUUCCUCUUUUGGAGUCACUUGGCCUUCACAAUUUGAUCAACAUGGAGAGGAUAUGUAUUGAUCGGCUCAAAGUAGAGUCCUUCAACGAACUCAAAAAUAUAGAAGUAUAUAAUUGUGAUAAGUUGAGUAAUAUCUUUUGGCUCUCUACUAAAAAAUGCCUUCCAAGACUUGAGAGAAUUGCAGUUGUUAAUUGCAGCAAGAUGAAAGAGAUUUUUGCAAUUGGGGAAGAAGUUGAUAAUGCAAUUGAGAAGAUAGAGUUUGCUCAAUUAAGAUCUUUGAGUCUGGGGAAUCUUCCAGAGGUUACAAGUUUUUGCCGGGAAGUAAAGACUCCUUCAGCAUCACCAAACAGACCAGCGUCGCAAGAGGAAUCGACGACUAUGUAUAGCUCCAGCGAAAUCACUUUGGAUAUUUCAACUCUGCUUUUCAACGAGAAGGUGCGUAGUGUUGCGGACCGCCCAAUUCGCUAGCCCAAUUGCCCACAAUUUCGGGCUAGAGAGCCAACACAAGGCCAAGAGUGCUAGCUUGGCCCAAUUCCGGAAGGUUCUAGGCAACUCUAGCACAUGUGAACAUGUAAAUAUUCUAGAAUACUUUAUACAAUUCCAGCACAUGUAAAUAGCUAGGAAAUUGUAUAAUACUCUAGAGUUUGACCAAGUUUGGCAAAGUUAGGCAAAGUUAGGCAAAGUUAGGCAAAGCCUCCCCUAUAACUAUGGGAUGGCAUUAGGCAUUUGUAUCCAACAAGCAUUGUAAUCUCUCUUUGUGCAAUACAAGUUUCUUUGGCUCAAUUGCUCUCUUCUCUUGUUCGAGAAUCUCUAGGCUUACUUAGCAACAUUCGGCAAAGUUGUCUAAGUGCCGCACGGGUUAGCUGCGCAAAACACUCAUCCCGUGACAAGUGGUAUCAGAGCUAAGGUUUGCACGCACGCAAAUUAGCUCACGAAGCAAUGGCCAACCCUUCGAACGUAGCACAAGAGGGUGUUGUUGGUGUGGAUGUUCCACCGGAACCAAGCCGUGGCCGAGAGGGAGAACGCGCCCAAGGCAAGACUCGCGGCAAGUCCAAGGCCCUAUCCGUGGAUGCGUUGGAGCCUCGUGUAGGCACUCUCGAAAUAGCAUUGUCCGCCGCUCAAGAUAGCCUCGUGGGAUUGGAGGAAAGAGUGGAUGGUCUCGAGGGAGAAUACGCCAAGUUCACGGUGGCCACAAAAGCUCUCAUCCAUGAGCAAGCGAACAUUCUCCGAGGUGAGUUUCGUUCUUUCCAUGAUGAGUUGCUCAAACUUCGUAGUUUUGUUCAGGACGAACUACGUGCUGUCCGUGCGGAAGUGGAUGAAGUCCGCUCGGAUUGGGCAUGGCACAAGCGCACACUCUCCACAAGUCCAGCUUCCGCAAACUCGAGUGAUGCGCGCCGCAUUGACGUGCCAAAGCCCGACACCUACGAUGGCACACGCAAUGCCACCAUCGUGGACAAUUUCCUCUUUGGGCUGGAUCAAUACUUCGAUGCCAUGGGUGUCCGAGAUGAGGCAUCGAAAGUGGGCACUGCACCCACCUAUCUUAGAGGCGCUGCACAACUAUGGUGGCGUCGCAAGCAUGGCGAGAUGGGCAAGGGCAUUUGCGCCAUCAACACUUGGGCCGACUUCAAGCAAGAACUCCGAAAGCAGUUCGCCCCAAGCAAUGCGGAGAAGGAAGCGCGAGUGCGCUUACGUCGCCUCAAGCAAUCGGGUAGCAUUCGGGACUACAUCAACGAGUUCACUACCCUCAUGUUGGAGAUAAGCGACAUGUCCAACAAGGAUUCACUCUUCUACUUCCAAGAUGGCCUCAAGGAUUGGGCCAAGACCGAGCUUGAUAGGCGUGGUAUUCAAACACUUGACGACGCCAUUGCCGUUGCGGAGUCGCUCACCGAAUACUCUACCCAAUCCAAGGACAAAAAGGCCAACCAAGGCAAAGGUGGGGGAGAGAGUCGCAAGGACAAGGGCAACAACCGCAAAGAUUGGGGGCAGAAAAAGCCGCCUAGCAACAAGAGUUGGCAAGGAAAAUUGGAGGGCAAGAAGGAGGCGCCAAAGCCGCGAAGCCCAUGCUUCAUAUGCAAUGGUCCUCAUUGGGUACGCGACUGUCCGGAGAAGAGGUUGCUUAAUGCUCUUGCUGCCCAACUCAAGAGCAACCCCACAAUGUCCACGGAGGAACCCCAACUCAGCAUGGGUUCUCUCCAACGCCUCGGCGCCCUCAAUCGCCAACAGCCCGCACUCGUCAAGAAAGGGCUCAUGUAUGUAAGCGCAAAGGUAAACGGUCAGUCCGUUCGCGCGCUGCUAGACACGGGAGCAACACACAAUUUCGUGUCCGUAGACGAGGCCAAGCGCUUAGGCCUCAAGGCCACCAAGGAAGGAGGCACAAUGAAGGCUGUGAACUCACCCGCCAAGCCAAUUGCGGGAAUCGCACAAGGCGUGCACAUCACACUUGGUACGUGGAGCGGAAAGCUUGACUUCUCCAUCGUGCCCAUGGACGACUUCAAGAUGGUCCUCGGCAUGGAAUUCUUCGACCAAGUCCAUGCCUUCCCACUGCCCGCUACAAACUCCCUAAGCAUCCUCGACGGGAGUAAAGCAUGCAUGGUACCCACGGAGCGAGGCAAGUCCGAGGAGAAGACACUCUCCGCCAUGCAAUUCAAAAGGGCUUUCAAGAAGGACCCAAGCUUCUUGGUCUCCAUUCGGGAACUAAAUGAGGAAGGAAAUAGCGGAACGUCGCCAAGCCAAGUCCCUCCACAAAUUCAAGCCGUCCUCGAAGAUUACAAGGAUGUGAUGCCUCCAGAACUUCCAAAGAAGCUCCCACCUCCGCGAGAGGUAGAUCAUGCGAUUGAGCUAGAACAAGGCGCGAAGCCACCAGCCUUGGCACCCUACCGCAUGGCGCCACCCGAAUUAGAGGAGUUGCGGAGACAACUCAAAGACUUGCUGGAUGCCGGCUACAUUCGCCCCUCAAAGGCCCCAUUCGGUGCACCGGUCCUCUUCCAAAAGAAAAAUGAUGGAUCGCUGCGGAUGUGCAUCAACUAUAGAGCGCUCAACAAGAUCACCAUCAAGAACAAGUAUCCGAUUCCAUUGAUUGCGGACUUGUUCGACCAGCUUGGCAAAGCGCGGUACUUCACCAAACUUGACUUGCGCUCCGGGUACUACCAAGUGCGCAUCGCCAAGGGAGACGAACCGAAGACAGCGUGCACAACAAGGUACGGGUCUUUCGAAUUCCUUGUGAUGCCUUUUGGCCUUACUAAUGCACCCGCCACAUUUUGCACACUCAUGAACAAGGUACUCCAACCAUUCCUCGACCGCUUCGUGGUCGUGUACUUGGACGACAUUGUGGUGUAUAGCACCACACUCGAGGAUCAUGCCCAACACUUGCAACAAGUCCUCCAAGUACUUCGAGACAAUGAGCUCUUCCUCAAACUAGAGAAGUGCUCGUUUGCCCAACAAGAGGUGGAGUUCCUUGGCCACAAGAUUGCGGGCGGGAAGAUCAUGAUGGAAAAUGACAAAGUAAAGGCCAUCCUCGAUUGGGAGCCUCCCUCGAAAGUACCCGAGCUUCGCUCAUUCCUUGGGCUGGUGAAUUACUACCGCCGCUUCAUUAAGGGCUAUUCAGCCAAGGCGGCACCCUUGACGGAUAUGCUCAAGAAAAACAGAACGUGGCAUUGGUCCGAAGAGUGCUAACGUGCAUUCGAGGAGUUGAAGGCAAUUUCGGAGGAACCAGUCCUCGCUCUUCCGGACCACACCAAGCCCUUCGAAGUUCAAACGGAUGCCUCGGAUUUCGCCAUAGGUGGAGUCCUUAUGCAAGAAGGCCACCCAAUAGCGUUCGAGAGUCGAAAGCUAAAUGACACGGAACGCCGCUACACGGUGCAAGAAAAGGAGAUGACAGCCAUCAUCCAUUGUCUAAGAGUGUGGCGACAUUACUUGCUUGGCUCACACUUCACGAUCAUGACGGACAACGUGGCGACAAGCUACUUUCAAACUCAAAAGAAGUUGAGUCCGAAGCAAGCACGGUGGCAAGAUUUCCUUGCGGAAUUCGACUAUCGGCUAGAGUACAAACCGGGGAAAGCCAAUGUUGUUGCGGACGCUCUAAGCCGCAAGGCGGAAUUGGCAACACUUAGCAUGAGCCAACCGAAGUCCGACCUUGUCUCACGCAUCAAGGAAGGCCUCCAACAAGAUCCGCUAGCAAAGGAUUUGCUGGAGAAGGUGCUCGAGGGAAAGACAAGGCGGUUUUGGCAAGAGGAAGGCAUCCUCCUCACCAAGGGAGAUCGGCUGUUCGUGCCAAGGUGGGGAAACUUGCGGAAGGAAGUAAUCAAGGAGUGCCACGACUCUAAGUGGGCUGGUCACCCAGGAAUCGAGCGCACCACCGCACUAGUUCAAGCCUCGUAUUUUUGGCCGCACAUGAGGGACGACAUUGAGGCAUAUGUGCGAACUUGUCUUGUGUGCCAACAAGACAAAGUGGAUCAUCAACUUCCAGCGGGAUUGUUGGAGCCGCUACCACUAGCAACAAGGCCAUGGGAAAGUGUCUCCAUGGACUUCAUCACAUCGCUGCCCAAGUCCGAAGGUUGCGGAAGUAUCAUGGUCAUUGUCGACCGAUACAGCAAGUACGCCACAUUCAUUGCUGCACCAGUCGAUUGCAAAGCGGACGAGGCAGCCCGCCUAUUUGUCAAGCACAUUGUGAAGCUUUGGGGAGUACCGAAGAGCAUUGUGAGCGACCGAGACCCUCGGUUCACUGGACGCUUUUGGACGGAACUCUUCAAAAUGUUGGGGACCGAUCUCAAGUUCUCGACAAGCUUCCACCCACAAACGGAUGGGCAGACCGAGCGCAUUAAUGGCCUCCUCGAGAUGUACCUGAGGCAUUAUGUGAGCGCUCACCAGCGGGAUUGGGCGAAGCUACUCGACAUCGCCCAAUUUUCUUAUAACUUGCAGCGAAGUGAGGCUACGGGCAAGAGUCCGUUCGAGAUCAUCAUGGGAUUCCAGCCCAUGACCCCCAAUGCCAUAGCCUCGACUUACGGAGGGAAAAGCCCCGCGGUACACAAGCUCGCCCGCGAACGGCAUGAGGAAGCGGACAUCACACGAGCCUACCUCGACAAAGCCGCGAGGAAGAUGAAGAAAUGGACGGAUACAAGGAGACGACAUGUUGAGUACAAGGAAGGUGAUCAAGUCAUGAUCAAGCUCCUACCCCAACAAUUCAAGACUUUGCGGAAAGUUCACAAGGGGUUAGUGAGGCGCUACGAGGGACCCUUCCGAGUUGUUCGACGUGUGGGCAACGUCUCGUAUCAACUCCAACUUCCGCCAAGACUCAAGAUCCAUCCGGUCUUCCAUGUGAGCCUUCUCAAGCCAUAUCACGAAGACAUGGGAGAACCAAGUCGCGGAGAAUCGAGGCGCGCGCCAACUGCCGUUGUCACCGCGUUCGACAAAGAUGUGGACUACAUCAUUGCGGACCGAACGGUUUCGAGGAGGGGCGUGCCAGCACAUAGCGAGUACUUGGUGAAGUGGAAAAACCUCCCCGAGAGCGAAGCCACUUAUCGCUGAGCACAUCCAGCACUUCAAGCACGAGACCGCGACGAGGACGCCACGAGCUUAGGUGGGGGAGGAUGUUGCGGACCGCCCAAUUCGCUAGCCCAAUUGCCCACAAUUUCGGGCUAGAGAGCCAACACAAGGCCAAGAGUGCUAGCUUGGCCCAAUUCCGGAAGGUUCUAGGCAACUCUAGCACAUGUGAACAUGUAAAUAUUCUAGAAUACUUUAUACAAUUCCAGCACAUGUAAAUAGCUAGGAAAUUGUAUAAUACUCUAGAGUUUGACCAAGUUUGGCAAAGUUAGGCAAAGCCUCCCCUAUAAAUAUGGGAUGGCAUUAGGCAUUUGUAUCCAACAAGCAUUGUAAUCUCUCUUUGUGCAAUACAAGUUUCUUUGGCUCAAUUGCUCUCUUCUCUUGUUCGAGAAUCUCUAGGCUUACUUAGCAACAUUCGGCAAAGUUGUCUAAGUGCCGCACGGGUUAGCUGCGCAAAACACUCAUCCCGUGACAGUAGGCUAACAUUUUCUUUAUUCUAUCAUGCGUUCUGUUUUGAUGUCAUACGUGGAAAAUAAUUAAAUCAUUUAAAGAAUUGAAAGAAAAUGAAAAAAAAAGGAUAAAAAGAAUCUCACGCGCUCACUAAUUGAGCUCUUAACAAGUAGUAUGAAUUAGAAUGCGUACUCAGCUGUCAGUUGGAAAUUGAUUCAGACUUGUAUUAAUUUGUAAUCAAAGAAGAAAAUUUCAACAAGUGCUUCCCAUAUGGAUAUUGGAUCUAACGAGAAAUUCUUAUUUUUUUAGGUUGCGUUGCCUAACUUGGAGGCUUUGGAGAUAUCUGCAAUUAAUGUCGACAAGAUUUGGCACUACAAUCAUCUUCCGGCGGCCGUGUUUCCUCACUUUCAAAGUUUAACACGAUUGAUUGUGUGGCGUUGUCACAAAUUAAAAUACAUAUUUUCAGCGUCUAUGAUCAGAAGCCUUAAGCAGCUCCAACACCUACGUAUACACUACUGUAAGAAUUUACAGGAGAUCAUUUCUGAAAACAGAACAGAUGAAGUGAUCCCUCAUUUUGUCUUUCCACAGCUCACCACUCUGAGACUCGAAGGUCUACCAAAACUUAGAUGUUUGUACCCUGGAAAGCAUACUUCGGAAUGGCCCGCACUAGAAAUUCUUGUAGUGUAUCGUUGUGACAAAUUAAAGAUAUUCGCUGCAGAUUUAUCGCAGAAUAAUGAGAAUGAUCAACUUGGCAUUCCUGCACAACGGCCCCCAUUGCCAUUGGAAAAGGUAUGAAGCCAAGUUCUAGAUUUUUUAUCAAUAGCUUAUUUUUAACUUCGAAAAAUAUGACAAAGCAUCGAUAAAUUAAUACUCAAUAAAUUGAAAACUUUUAUUAUACAAUAAUCUUUGCUAGUCUAGAUUAAGAGAUCAAUGUGGUAGAUUAAUAAUUAUAUGAACUUUUUUUGGUAUAGCAUUUGUAAAAGAAUCUUGAGUCUUUCCAUAUAGAAGAACUUACAAAAUAAAUUAGUAAUUUAUUAUUGUGCAAUAAAAUAAUUUCGAGUCAGUAUAAAUCAACCUUUUUUCCCUAAUUUCUUUUUUACCUCUAAAAUUAACAUAUAAAAAAUCAUUUAAUAAAUUUUAUCAAUAAUUCAAUUUUUUUUUUAAAAAUAUAAUAUAAAACAAAUACUAUAAAGUCACUGCGUGUCAUUGGAUUACUCAAAAUCAUUUGAGAGAUCAUCAAUUGACCUUAUCAGUUAUUAUGAUUGACGAUGAUCAGAUCUUACCCAACUUGAUGGAACUAUCACUAAGUGGAAAAGACGUGGAGAUGAUUUUGCAGGCCGAUUUCCCACAACACCUUUUUGGCAGUCUUAGAGAACUAGAGAUUGCUGCAGAUGACUCAGCUUGUUUUCCAAUCUGGAACGUACUGGAGAGAUUUCACAAUCUCGAAAUACUCACACUGUGUGAUUUUUCAUCCCACGAAGAGCUAUUUUCGAUGGAAGGAUGCUUAGAGAAACAUGUGGGGAAGUUGGCAAUGAUAAAAGAAUUAGAGCUGUACCGGCACUAUCAUCUGAAGCAGCUGUGCAAACAAGACUCCAAACUUGGCCCCAUUUUUCAGUAUCUUGAAAUUCUAAGAGUAUAUCAUUGUCAAAGUCUGUUAAUUCUAUUGCCAUCAUCAUCGGUAUCUUUUGGGAACCUAACAAAACUUGUAGCUUUCGGUUGCAAGGGAUUGAUACACUUGGUAACAUCCUGCACAGCAAAAACUCUAGUGCAACUCGUCACGGUGCGUAUACAAGGAUGCAGAGCAAUGACAGAGGUGGUAAUAAAUGACAAAGAAGGAGUUGAAAAAGAAGAGAUUGUUUUCAGCAAAUUGAAGGCGUUGAUUCUGUGUGAUUUAGAAAGUCUCACAAGUUUCUGCUCUGCCAAUUACACCUUCAGAUUCCCAUCUUUGGAAUAUCUGGAAGUGAUUGGUUGUCCCAAGAUGAAGAUUUUCACUACAGGAGAAUCAAUCACGCCUCCGAGAGUAGACGUCCAGUAUGGAGAGACAUCGAAUCAACGGCGUUGGGCUAAUAAUGAUCUAAACACAACCAUACAACAAUUACAUGCUGAGAAGGUACGGAUAUACAUAUUACUCUCUAUCUCCCAUGAUAAAUUUUUACAAAAUUUGCUUUUUCUUUUUAAAUAAAAUAUAGAUAAAAUGUUUGUUAUAAAGUAAAAGUUUAAAUUGAUGAAUAAGAAUUUUAUUUUCAGCUGUUGGCGGGGUCGUCGAUAUACUCUACGCAGUACGACUAAUUUCAUAGGCUUCUUAUGACUUGGAGUUGCGAAUUUUAUUUAAUUUAUUUAAUCCCAUGGCUUGUUUCGCAAUUUCAUCUUAAUUAUUUAGAAUAGGUCCCUCGGUUUACUGUUAAACUAGGAAAUAGAACCGCGCUUCGCGCGGCUUUAAAAAUAUCAAAUUAAAAAUAAAAAAUUUGAUGAAAUUCAAAUUUCUUAAGAUAACCUUCUGAUCUCUUCUCAAAAGGAAGAUUAAACAAGUUAAUUUUGUAUGUUUAUUUCAAUAAUAAUAACGAUCGCACAUAAUAAUAAUAAUAAUAAAAAUAAUAAUAAUAAUAAUAAUUGGCACCUGACGACGUUGAGGCUCAUGAGCAUUCCACAAAAUAUAAGUUUCAAUUGCAUCGAGCCCUCCAUCCUUUGCCUUCUGUAUAAGAUCUGGCCACAUCUGCACAAAUAUAACGCAUAUAGAAAUAAAUCAUAUCAAAUUUUACAUAUUUUAAGAAUAAUAAUGCUGUUGGAUCCAAAAAUAUUGCCCAUAAUUUUUCCUAAACAUGAAAGCGCACCGUUUUGAAUGUGGGAUCAUGUUUGGCUUGUUAGGAAAAAAAAUUAAGAUAAUAUUUUUGCAACAAAGUAGCUUUUUUUUUUUUGGUUAAAAGAAGAAGAAAAUGUGAAAGUGCAAGUGAUUUGAGAAAUUGUAAAUUAAUUAUUUGCAUACAGUACUUGUGGACUACUGCGAAAAUAUAAUGAAUUGCACCAGAGAAGAUAACUCGUCGUUCUCCAUUAAUUAUAAUGGUAGUUGCAUCAUAAUCGACUUGUGUUGCUGAUGAUGACAAGCAACUUAAAUUUAGAAUAAGAAGAAUUAUGCCUUAGUGGCAUUGUUGAGGGAAGAUGAAAGAACCUCUCUUCCUAUGUUAAUUAAUUAAUGUAUUUUAAGCCGCUAAAGUUUAAUUGCUAGUAUAAUAAAAUUUGAAGAAGCCAAAAGACACUAAAUAAAAGGUUGCAUAAUUAAAUAUGAGAUUAUGGCAUUAAAAUUAGGCCCUUAUGACAUUGUUGAAGGAAGAUGAAAGAGCCUCUCUUCAUAUGUUAAUUAAUUGAUGUAUUUUAAGCUACUAAAGUUUAAUUGCUAGCAUAAUAAAAUAAAUGAAUGUUUCAAAAGAUUUAUUAUUAAUUAUUAUUCAUGAUUAUAUAUUGUUGGAUUUCAAUAGAAAGAGGAAGAGACAUGAAAAUUAAACUUAGGCCCUAGCUGCAUUAUUGAGGGAAGAUGAAAGAACCCCUCUUCCUAUGUUAAUUAAUUGAUGUAUUUUAAGCAACUAAAGUUUAAUUGCUAGCAUAAUAAAAUAAAUGAAUAUUUCAAAAGACUUAUAAUUAAUUGUUAUUAAUGGUUACAUAUUGUUGGAUUUAAAUAGAAAGAGGAAGAAAUAAUGAUGCCACAAAUCUUAAAUAUUUAAUGUUUAUAGAGUUUGAAGAAGCCAAAAGGCACUAAACAAAAUAUUGAAUAAUUAAAUAUGGGAUCAUGACAUUAAAAUUGGGCUCUAAUGGCAUUGUUGACAUUAAAAUUGGACUUAUAAUUAAUUAUUAUUAAUGAUUACAUAUUGUUGAAUUUAAAUAGAAAGAGAAAAAAAGUACAAAGAAUAUUCACCAAUAUUUUAGAUAUUUUAGAUAAUAGAAAAUAUAAAAAGAUGAGGAAUGAUAUAUAUUAAUAAAGUUACUAUUUAUUAAAUGAGUUAAAUACAAUCAAAUUAAUUAUGAGAAGAUGAAAAGCUAAAUCUAAAAAAAAUUCUCUAUUUAUUAGAUAAUAGAGAAUAUACAAAGAAGCAAAAUGGUGAUGCCACAUCACCUCCUCAAGUCCUAGCUUUAUAUAGAUAUAUAGAUAUAUAGAUAGAUAGAUAUAGAUUUGCAAUGCAAUUUUAAUGAUCCCUUCAGACUUUUAUGGACAGAUUUUGCAUAAUUGAAUGUCUUUUUAGUCUAGUUUAAUUUGAGUCUUUUUCUUCUUCUUUUUUUUUUUUUUUUGGGAGCUCCCCUCGUCUUCUAAAAUUUUAUAACUCCUUGCAUACGUUUUUAUGAUAAAAUUUCAUUAAAAGCCUUCGUAUUUUAUAAUUCGUUGAAAACAUGCAUACUUUUUCCAUUCUUUCUUUGCCAAUUAUUUAUUCUCAUCAUUGCUGUUCUUUUAUUUUAGUUUGUGUUCUGUUUGUUCAUUGGGUUUGCUUUUCUUCACGCCUAUAUUUCCUUGGAAAGUUAGAAGGCAAGGAAAGUACUUAGAAAAUGUUCUUGUUCUUCCCUAUGAACACAUAAUUAAAGAACAGCUGAAUAUCAUUCAUCGGACUAAAAAAAUUUAAAAAAAAAAACGUAAUCAGUGCAUUGUUCCUAUAACAAAUGCUUAAACCAUCAAAUGUUAGCUAUGAACAAGUAUAUUGUGGAAAUAUUGUUUGAAAAUAUUUCAUAAAAAAUCAAGUUUUCACAAACCAAAAAGGGACUAAUUUGGUCUAGCAUAUUCAUAAUAUUUUCUCCACUGUUCCUGUUAAAAUUUCUCUACUCUAUGAUUGCAGAAUGUUUGGAUACUGAUGACGAUUUAAGUCACUCUUCUUCUGUGCGCAAUUUGAAAUAAGGUCGUUUUUCUUUUUUCCUCUAUUCAAAGUUUACAUUCUGAGGGGUUCCCGUUUCCAUCUUCGUGAUCUUCUUGUGAUUCACUGCAUCGUGUCGCUACAUCUGUGAUAGUGUGAGUUGCAACCUGUCUGUUUUCUUUGUUUGAUCAUUGUAUGUAUUAAAAAAGUUUACAUUUCAUUCUAGAUAAGCUCUUUGUAUGUAUUAAAAAAAUUUUAUUCUCAAUAUAUAUGACUCAAUGAGAGGUCUUUUAUUAUAUAUAUGUCAUGAAUUUCUAUUGUAUUUUGAGAUUUGAUGGUGUAUUAUUGUCUCAUUGCAAGGUCUUGUAAUCACUCUGAUUCUCAUUUGAGGAGGUUGGUCUCGUCUAUGUGUAUGUAUUUAUAUCCACAAGAAAUUUGAUAAAUGGUCUUGUCGUUUUCUCAUUAAAACAUCUAGUGCUUCAUGGGUUGGAGGGCUACUAGGCAUCAGGGCCAGAUCUUUAAACUCAAAGUUCUUCGUGUCAUUUACCCAUUUGAUUAUCAAAUAGUCAUAAAAGCAUAUAAAUUCAAGUUAGUGUAUCAUUUUUACACAAUAUACUAAAACUAACACAAGAACUUGGCCGACAUUUUCAGUUGAAUAACUCAGACCCCCGAACUUCCUCGGGCUGACAUCCCAAAGUGAAAAUGUCUAAAAAAAUAGUUGCAACAUUUACCCAUUUGAUUAUGAUUCAAAAAAAAACACAAACGGAGAAAUUAUUGGGAUUGUUAAGAUAGUUAAAAUGGUUAGUUAUUGUUUCAGUUUGUUAAGCAAGAUAGGUAGAGUUACUGACGUGUUAGCUGAGCUGGCAUAAGUUAUUCAACUCUCAGGUGCUUAGAAACCUUGUAUAAAUACAUUUGUAAUCAGCUAAAGAAUGGAUGAUUCAGAUUUAUUCAUCAAAUCCAGCUCUUAGAUGAUCUCUGUUCUUUCUUUCAUUUUCUCUCAUUUUCUUACUUAUCAAACAGAUUAGAAACUUUAACUUGGUAUCAGAGCCUGAAAGGUUUGGUAGUUGUUCUGUUUUAUCUUCAGUUUCAUUUUGUGAUCACAGAAACGUUAGGACUUGCUUGCAUGAACGCACAUUAAACCACGGAAAUUUUGUCAGACAUGCACGCAAAUGAAAUUUUAUCAGCAGUCUUGUAAUUUUCUAUUUUUGUUGUUGUCGUCAUUUUUUUACUACUAGUACUGUUUGAAAUUCUAGUAUUUUGGAUGUGAAAUUUAUUAUAUUAUGAUAGGUCCCAGUCAGAAUUAGCGGAAACAACAAGUAAAUAAUUUGUUCUUCUUAGGGUAAGAACUACCGCAAUUGCUAAUUGAAUUAGAUAAAAGUCUGAUAUCUUUUUAUUGAAUUAUUCGAGUCUAUUUAUAGAACAAAAUUAAUGAAAUAAAGUAGUUAAAAUCAAUUAAACCACUUAGCUAUAAUUUCGAAGUAAAUAAUAAUCUUAAAGGAAUCAUGAUUAAAUCUGAAUUCUUCAUCAAUACGGCUUGACUUAGUAAGCUUUCCGUUGAUUUUGUGAAGAGUCCUUGAAGGAACGUGAUGCCCACCUCAUGCAUGGCUUGCAUGUUACUUGCAUGUGCCCAUACAUUUUCGUUAUUGGCUUGCAUGGUUGCUUGCAUGUGCCCAUGCAUAUUCGUCAUAUUUGUUGUUGGGUUUUGCUUCUCACUUGGACUUGCGUAUACUCUUAUCAUAUUAGAUAUUCGACAUAUAUAUGAUGCUGAAUACAGGGUAUGUGUUGUCUAAAUUUAUUUUAUUUUGUUUGCUUCACAUCCAAUUUUCAAAAGCUUUGAAGAAUGCUAAGAGAAGGAGCAAAGGGCUAAAGAGUCAAAUGUAACAUUGCUAUUAAUUUGUUAAUUGCCAUCAUUUUUAAUUUUUGCCCUGCUUGUUCUGUUUACUCAUUUAUUUCACUUGGUUUUGCUCCACGUCUAUCUUUCCUAACUUAGGAAGGCAAGGAUUUUGAAAGUUCUGAAGAAGAUUCAGGUCACUCGUGUGAAUAAGAGCUGUGUUACUGUUUAAAAGUUUUCAUGCUCUGGAAUAAAAUUUGCUUUACUGUGUUACUGGUCAACUUCAUUAUUCUACUAAUGCUUUACUUCAUCUUCAUUGUAUCACUACAUUGACAGCGUUGACAGUGUAAGAGUCGUUUUCACGAUUUUUAAGAAAUUUUGAUCACAUUAAACUUUUGAUCUGAGUUCAUAACAAAAAUCAAAACGGCGCAUGACAUCAAGAUUAUGAUGAAUCAAAUUGAACUCCCAAUACGUUAGUUCAUAAAAAAUGCUUUUCUUCUUCCAAGUAAUCUUAUCAUUUCUUUCAUUUUAUUCAUUCUCCUCUUUUCUCCUCUUUUCAAGUCUUCAAUCUUAUACUCAGUAAGUACAUUACUGAACUGCUUUUUCACCUCAGCUCCAGACAACCGAGAAGGUGCUUGUCCGGUUGUCCCCACUCUCUAGUUUUAUCAGAUGGCACUAUAUUUUCGGAACCUAUGAUUUGUUGGUAAAAAUCGACGGUGACCCACGUGACAAUUUUCUACUAUGUAUCAACCAAUUAGAUCUAGUGUUUUGUUGGCAAACAAGAAAUGCUUAUUUACCUUUAAUACUCCACCCAAACAAGUUGGCAUAUGCUAGAAAGUCGGAGAUAGUCCAUAACAAUGCUGCGUGUGACUUGAACAUUUGAUUAUGUGAUGCAUUAUGCAUCAUUCCAACCAUACUAGCAUCACUACCCGAGUCAUGACUAACCUGUUUCUUAGUUAGAUUUCAAAGAUGAAGAUGGCUCACCCUCCAAUAUCCAGUUUUAAUACUUUAACCAAUAGCCAUUUAUAAUGAUAUGGUCUCUUGCCACUUUCCUUAUAAGGAAAUAUCGAUAUUACGACACUUCUUAGAAGGACAAUAAAUUCUUUUAUCACCAACAACAUUCUCAAAUGCAAAAUCUAUAAAUUUUUUGACCCAUCAGUAUAUGAAUUGGAUAUCUAUUUGGCAAACCAACCCAACUCUGGUCCAUGACUAUGUCCUUUUAAUGCACUAGAAAAAUUAGUUAAAUAAAUCACUUUAAUUCUUCAUUUCUACUACUAAACAAGAUAUUUUCAUGUGUGCGCAGUUUCGCAAUAUAAUAAAAAAAAUUAUUAUACAAUUUUAUGGUUAAUCUCAUUAGAACGUUUAUAUAUAUGGAAGCAAGCAAAGCCACAAGAAUCAGAGAAAAAGAUGUGAAAAUUAAAGUAUAUAUACAACAAUAAUUAAUCUAAAAAACAGUUUGCAAUACCUUCUGUAAAGAAAUAUCCUCACCCACUGCUGAGAACUUCACUUGGCUAUCAAUUACAGAUAUAUAAAGCCUGUUACCUAGAAACAAAAAAUUAGGUCAGCCAGCUAAAACAUAUUUAUAAACCAACAUUGGAGAUAGUACUCCAUUUAUAAACAAAAUUACAAGACUCAAAACCAAGUCGACUCAGCAAAAUCAUAACCGAUUACAUUCAUCCCACUCAGCUCCUCCACUCCCAUCAAUAUAUCCAACAUUCCCUUCAUAUUUACAAAAGGUAAGUGGUCCUAUAUAUCCCACUCAAGAAUGCAUAAGUUUCUUCAAUCUUAAGUAUCUAAAGUUUUCCUCUACGUUUAUAGAAACUUCGGAAGCAUCUCCCUAUAGUUCUUCAAGUACACGACAUAGAUAUAUGAAUGUUUAUGUGUUAUGCCAAAACAACACAUGACACCCAUUUGUCUAGUAUGCACCCAGAGAACAUGAGGAGCAGCUGCUGAAAAACCCAUUUUUACGUGGGAAAAAAAUUUCAGGCACUAGCUGCCAUAGAAAUCUAUGCAUUACCAAACUGUCCAAGCCUAGAUAUUUCAAGAAUUAUUAAUAGACAUAAGAUCCUCACUAUCAUCCAAAAGAUGACACUAAUAAAACAUGUGUCUAUUAAUAAUUUCUUAAAGGAGUUUAAGCUUUCAAUGCAUGUAUCAAAAGUUUAAAAUUGAAUCUGAAACUUGAAUAACACAUAAAAAUCAUAAAUCUCUUCAAUUUAUUCCUAAUAAAAUGUAGCAUUUUUUCACAUUUCAUUUCUUAAGCAAAACCAUAAAAAAUUACAAACAAUAAAUACAUUUUCUAGCACUGAUGCACAUUAUGUUUACUGAGCAAUAAGUUUUAAGUCAUUCAUAUUAAAAUACUUCUUCCUAUUCUAUCAACAAAUAACUAGUACGUACACACAAUUAAUAAAUUAAAUGUAACCUGGUUGUGAAUCUUGCAAAGUCUUCCUAUUUUUUUUUUUUUUUUUUGGUGGGGGGGGGGGGGGAGGGGGGAGGGGGUGGUUAUGCUCAUUUGUGUGUUGUUAACAGAAAUUGAUCCAAAGCCUCAGUUUUAAUUAGCUUCAUUAUAGCCAAUGAUUAGGUGUUUAAAAACCAAUGAAUAUUUUUUAUAAGAAAUCAACAAUAUUGUUGAAAGAAAAACCAAAUAAAAAUAAUAAAGCAAUGCAUAGAUUAAGGCUCUUUAUUAUCUAAUAACUAAUCAAACUAAGUUGUGGGUAAAGGAGAAUAUGUUUGUUUGGCCAAUAAUAAACUCAAGGAAUCACCAAUAAUCACCUAGUUACUAUUCCUUAUGCCAUGCAAUGUAAUGGCGUCGGUAAUGGCGACAAGGCAGGCAAUAACUAGCUAGCUAGUUAUGAUAGUUGCUUAACUUAACCUACUGGAAAUCUGAAGACCAAAAUGAAGAAACUUUGCCUAGAACUAGAAUAGGAAAACAUUCAUACCCAAAACCAAUAUACAUGAUUAAGAAACUUGAUUAUAUGUAUAUUUUUGUUUGCCACACCAAAUCCCACUAUUUCCAUACUCAUAAGCACAAAAAACCAUCGCAAAAAUGAAUGACCAUAUAAAAUAAAAUAGGUCGCAGGACAUUGAGAAUAGGACAAUAUGAUUUAUGUACUGUAAAAUAACUAUAUCUGCAGUCAACUAUAUUUCUGUUAGAACUCUAAAGUUUUCCAUUAAAUUUUUUUCCCUGUUAGGUAAACCACUUAACUGAAACACUUAAGCAAGAUUGACAAUCAUAGACAUAAAAGUAUUAAUAGGCUCAUUCAAGUGAAAUGAGCAUUAUUUCACAUAUCCUUUAGGCUUUUAAGUCAUUUAGAAGUCAUUCAUGUUAAACAAUUUCUUCAUAUACUUUCAAUAUAAUUAGUACAUACACAAUUAAUUAAUUAAAUAAAUCUGUUUCAGCUAGCACAGGAACUUAAGCAAUCAGAGCUAUUAGUUAUAGCUAGGACUUGAAUGAGGCACCUUUCAAAGUUCAAGAGGAGCAUCUGAACAGAAUGAAAGCAGUUUGUAGAAAUGGUAGUGAUGCUUUACAUCUACAUGCUCUUACACAAUAUGAACUUUCAUUUAUUCAAGAACAUAACACUAAUCCAAGCUCUUACUCUACAAGUCAAUUCAGUUUGUAGAUGCAAGCCAUUGUAAAAACUUUUGUGUUAUAAUUUCCGUAAAUGGAACAUGACAUUACUAAUAUAGAAUCAGCAAUGUUAUAUAACUUAUCAGACAAUAUAACAAGCACUUGGCGAGCAUAUAAGAUAAACUAAAACAAGUUAAUUAGAAAAUGAAACUAAAACCCAAGCUCCGCUAUUCAUUGUAGAAGCUUUAAACAUAAAAUUAAACUAAAUCUAAUGCCAAAACAUUAGAAUGGAUGUUGGAAUUAAAGCUAAAUUCAAUAGUAAUCCAAAUGAAUCCAUUUGAACUUUGUAAACUCCGCAGAACAAAAUUAAUUUGAGUGAGCAAACUCACCAAUGGCACAAGAACAGAAGGGCUUCAACUUCUAGGAACAAAAAACAUUGCCGGUGGGACAAAAAUUGACAUUAAUGGCUACAAUACGAAUUAAAGAGAUCAAAACCUAUAAUUACAAGCUAAGAAAGAGAGGAAACUCAUAAUCACAAGCUUACCUGAAACGAAGAGAGAGAAUAAGAUGAAGAAGAAGAUCGCUGCCGUUUUACGCCAUUCUCCGGCUACCAGUAAGGUUUAGGAUGCUGGCCAGGCACGAGAGAGAAUUUGGGACUUUGGUCUUCAAAAUAUUGACUCCAGCAAAUAGUUUUCUAUUUAGAAACAAAUUUAUAACUCUACCGUCACUCUCUACCGUCACGUGGUUAGUAACAUAAGUGAGAGCAGUCUAGCCGUCACAUAAACGGUCACAAAAGCAACUGGCUGUUACAAGUUUAGGAAUGGCAGAUAUUGCCGCGGGGACAUGACCCUCGAGAUUUUCCCAAUUCAGGUGGGUACAUAAUUUUUUACUUAAUUUUUUAUUUGAAAAGGAGACGGAGAUAGUUUUUUUACCUAAUUUCUUAUUCAGAGAAAGAAUGGGGGAUCGGCAGAAUCCCUAUUCUCUUCUAAUUUUUUGAUUUAAUUUUAUUUUUUAAAAUUAUUUGUAAAUAAAUAAUAAAAUAUAAAUAAUAAAAUAUUAAAUAUUAGUAUAAAUAAAAAAAUAAAAUAAUUAUAUUAUUAAAAUUUAGGCCUAAUUGACUACAUUAAUAUUUGGAUGAGAAAGUUAUGCUUAGGAUGAAAGAUUUUAAUAUUUUGAGUUGGUGUAAAAUAAAUGUCUAUAGAUAUCCUAUACUGGCAUGAAUUGCUAGAGAUAUUUUGGCAAUUCUAAUUACAAAUGUUGCUUCUGAAUUAGCUUUUAGCACCAGUGGUAGAGUACCGUAACACGCUUUAUUCAAGCACAUUGGAGGCUUUAAUAUGUUGUCAAAGUUGACUACAAGCUUACAAUGACAGUAUGAGUUUAUUUUACAUUGUAAUUAUAUUAUAUAAUUAUUAAUAUUUUCACUUAGAAUUUACAUUACUUAUAUUAUUUUUGUUGUUUUAAAUUUGAAAUCUGAGGCUAUCUCUCAAUUUGUCACAUUCCUCGAGGAAGAACAAGAAGAGUAGGAGACACAAGAGGUAAAUACUUUUAUUAGAAAUAUUGAUUAAGUAUCUAUAUUCAUUUCAUUUAUCUCAUUGUUGAUAUAAAAGUAAUUUCUUUUUUUUUAUUAUAUGAUUUUGAAGAUUGCCGAAGAUAAUUAUUAUGGUGAUUUAUACUUUGUAAUGUGACUUUUGUAAUAGAUUAAUGUUAAUGUAAGAUAUAUCGUCAAACUUUAUUUUUAUUUUUAUUUUUUAUUUUAAUAUGAUUAAAUUAAAAUUUAAAACUAAAAACGUAUCAGUUAUUCGAGAAUCGAGGACCUUUAAGGAUCCCCUAUUAUUAUUUGGGGAGGGGAGGGGGAUUCCCUAAAGCAAUUUUGUGAAUGGGAAGAGGCCAGGGAUAUAUACAGAAUAUCGAGAAUGGGUACGGGGAGGUCGGUCUCUUCCCCUCCCCUUCCCAUUGCCAUUCCUAACAAAGUUGGCAAUACAUGUACGGGCCGCUUUUGUAAAAUUGCUUUAAGGGUCGUUUGGGAUUGCUUUUGGGAAUAGCAUGCAAGAUAUAUAUAAAAAAUAAAAUCGUAGAAUAACUUUUACCUCUAAUUCGAUUUUUUCUUCUUUUUUGUAAAUUAUUAUGCAUUUAUAUUAAAGUCACUGUGUAUGAUUGGAUUAUUAAAAGUUAUUUGAGAGAAUAUGAAUUGACUUAAUAAGUUAUUACGUGAUUGAUGAUGAUCAGAGCUUACCCAACUGGCAUUAAGUGGAAAAGACUCGAGGAUGACUUUGCAGAGCGAUUUCCCACAACACCUUUUUGGCAGUCUUAAACUACUACAAACAGUGGAUGAUGACUCAACUUGUUUUCCACUUGAUUUACUUGAGAGAUUUCAUAAUCUGGAAACUCUCAUACGGCGUCGUUGUUCAUGCGAAGAGGUAUUUUCGAAUGGAGGAUACUUGAAGAAACAUGUGAGGAAGUUUACAAUGAUAAAACAUUUAGAUCUGCACAAAUUUAAUCAUCUGAAGCAAUUGUGGAAACAAGACUCCAAAUUGGACUCGUUUGUUCAAUGCCUUGAAAUUCUAAAUGUACAUUAUUGUCAAAAUCUGUUAAUUCUUUUGUCUUUGCUGCUAAUUCUUUAAUUCUUUUCGGUUCUUAAGUUUCUCUGUGAUUUGUUCUGGAUUGAUUCUUUUUGCAUCUUGGUUGUUUGAUUUGCGAUCUUGGCGAGUAUUUGGAGUUGAUCAUUAUCGAAUCUGUCACUCCAAACUCUACAGCGACUCUUAUCAAUGUUGGUAUAUGGAUGCAGAGCAAUGAGAGAGGUGGUGAUAAAUGACGAAGAUGGAGCAGCAAAUUUUGAAGAAGAGAUUGUUUUCACCAAAUUGAAGAUUUUGUAUCUGUAUGAUUUGGAUAGUCUCACAAGUUUCUGCUCUGCCAAUUACACCUUCAAAUUCCCAUCUUUGGAAGAUUUAUCUAUAAUUGGUUGUCCCAAGAUGAAGAUUUUCACUAAAGGAGAAUUAAACGCGCCUCUCAGAGUAAACUUCUACUAUGGAGAGAGAGACGAUCAACAGCCUUGGGCUAAUAAUGAUCUUAACACAAUCAUACAGCAUUUACAUGCUGAGAAGGUACGAAUAACUCACUAUCACCAGUGGAAAAAUUUUAUAAAAUUUCUCUUUUAAAUAAAAUGCACCAAAUAGAUCAGAUAUUUGUUAUAAAGUAAGUUUAUGAUCACGUACUGGCAGAUGGGAUACAUAUGUGCUUCAUUCUUGAAACUCUACCCUAUUUAAAAUUGAUAUUUUCACAAGAGUUAGAGAAUCCUAUUCAUUCAAUUAUCCAAAAUCAGAGAAUCUUAUUCAUUCAAUUACAAAAUUUCGUUAAUCGUUAGUUUUUAACUUCAUUACUGUAUGGAAGUCCUGUCAAAUUAAAUUGCUGUUGUUAAAUUUAUUAAAUCUCUUGCUUCCCUGCAAAUCUCUGCGUGCUUUACUUUUAAUUGAAACUAAUGAAUGAAAAUUUUACUUUCAGCUGUUGGAGGGGUCCUCAUCUUAUUCAAUGAUGUAUAUGUCCUAAUGGCAUUGGCCUUUUACUUUAAUUACAAGCGAGUUGUGAAUUUGAAAAACAAAGUCCCAGGUAAUUCAAUUUCAUUUCAUUUUAUUUUAUUUCUUGGCUUGUUUUAUCGCUUCAUCUAAAUUGUUUGGAAUACACCACUAGUUUAUUUUUACUUUUAGAAUGAGUUUUAAUGUUUUGUUCUGAGAUUUAUAUGCUGAUUUUAUAUCAUUAAAGGUCUUAGUGACUUAGUUUGGUCUUCACUUAUUUAUUUAUUUAUUUUUUUGACGUCGUGGCUUUAUAAUGUGUUUUUUUUUUUAAUUUUGAAUUUUAUAAUUCCUUGAAAAUGUCAUUGAAAGGGCCAGCACUUUUAUGUGGAAACCAUCUCAUCCUCCUUAUUUCAAACUAUUAAACAACCAAAUGUAUCCUAACAUAUAUGUUUAGAAUCAAUCUACUCAUUAAGAUAUAUGGUAAUGGUGUCAUCUGUUUGCUAUAGUUUGAUUACAAGAGAACUUUUCCAUUUGUUAGUUGCCAUCUUUGUUGAUCUGUUAAUUCAGUCUUCUUCUGUUUGUCCUGUUUAUCUGUUUAUUUCAACCUUUCUUUCAAAACUUAGAAGGUAUGGAAAGAGCAAGUACUUAGAAAUUGCGAGAAUUAUAUCAAAUCAUGCAUAUAUGCCCCUGCCUAUGAACUCUUAGGAACAAUCGAAUAUCUUUCCUUGAAUAGCAUAAAACAAAAUCUACAGAUCAUUAAACCAUCAAAAGUUAGCUAUGAACAACUAUAUAAAAAUCAUUUGUUUCUCACCUUUUCGUGAGUCUGAGAAGUUGUAAAUUCUACUGAGUUUCUCACCUUUUUUUUUUUUUGGACAAUUGGAGUUUUUAGUUUAUGAAACUUAAUGCCUAUAUUUCUCACAUUGUAAAAGUGUUUUGAAAAGAUGGUUUAUAUUGCACCAUAAAAAUGUGGUCUGAUAAACCAACAGGGGAGUAGUUUGAUCCAGUUACGUGAAAUGCAUGCAAAAUAAUAUUUUCUCUAUAGUUACUGAAGAGAAUUUUGGUCACUUUGGUGUGCAUUAUCUGGAAUAAAGUCGUUUUCCAGUUUCUUCAAAGUUUAUGUGCGGAGGACUUCCGGUUUCCAUCUCAAGUUCAAAUACUAAUAAAGAUGAGUAAAUUCAUCAUCCGUGUGUCUGCUCUUUCUAUGCAUUUUGACAUUUUUUAUUAAUGCGUCUUUAACAGUAGUUUUUUUUCACAGAAAAAAUUGUCAGUAUUUUGUGUCAAAUAAAAAAUUAAAAAAUAUAUAUGUAUUUUGGGCGAAACUUUUUGCGAAAAAUAAUGAGUGCCAACACUUUAUAACUUAAUAUGUAUUUUGGGCUUGGCGAAGUUACGGUUCAUGUAACUAAUCAAUUUAAUCAUUACCGGAUAAAAUUGAAUACACCAGUAGUGUUUUUCCACGGAGAUAUUGCCAAAUUUUGUGUCAAAUAAAGAAUAAAAACCAUAAAUACCAGUAGUGUCCGAUUUUGAAAGCAAAGCAGCAUACAUAUUAACUACUAGGCUUUGAUGGUGGUUGCAGUAAAAAGGAUUAAAAGAGAGAGAGAGAGAGAACUUGAAAACUAUGGAAUGGAAGAUAAAUCAAAGUUAUAAAUUUGGACUCAAUAGUUUUGAUGUUCAAUCAAAUAUGGAGGGGCGAUUAGAAAUUAUCAAAAAUUUAGAGGGAUUUCAACCGUUCAAUUCAUUAUUAGGCGUUGUAGACUGCAGGGAUGCAGAAAUUUCCACAGGGACGAUGGCCCCGAGGGAUCUUCCUCAUUCGGGAGUUUGAUAAUUUUAGAUCUAAUUUUUCUAUGUGGAGACAAGACUGUGAUCAAUUAAUAUGUGUGGGUGUAAGUUACAUGAAAUAUAACUUAGUGUUUGCCCUAAUAUUUUAUUUGGCUCCACAUUUUUCUAUUUCUAUCUUUAGUUCUAUUUUUAAUUAAUUUAUUUCAAAUUUAUAGUAAAUACAUUUAAAAUUUCAAUUAUAAUAGUGUGAUGUAAAUAAAAAAUAUCACAAUACAUUUAUAAAAAUAAUAUAAAUAACAGCCAAUAUAAAGUAAAUAUAAACAUUUUAAAAUUGACAAAGAUAAUUUAAUUGAUGGUUUAUACUAUAUGACAUUUAUGGAUGAGUUCAACUUUGAAGAUUUACUUUUGCUUAAUUAGUUCAAAGAUUAUCUUCUAAUUUGAUGACAUUGACUUAAUUUGAUGGAAAUGAUUUUAAUCACUUUAGUUAAUUUGAUAUUUUUUGUGUUAAUAUGAUUUUAUAUUUUUACUUUAAGAUGAUUAAAUUAAGAAAAAAAAGAAAUUAAAUAAUCAGAGAUCGGAUAGCAUCGGAGAUCCCUUUGUAUUAUUUAGAAACAUCCAUCCCCUUCUUUCAAGUGAUUUUGAAGGAAAUGUCUAGAGUACAAAGAGAUAGACAGAGUAUUAAAGAUGAGUAUGGGGAAAUCAAUCCCCUCUCCUUCCCUUCUUAUUGACAUCUUUACAUGUGAGCCCAAGGGGAAAUGCACCAUGCCUGAUAAAAGUAAAAUUAAAAAUAAAAAUUUUCUUUUAUCAAAUCACUCUAUGUGGUGGAGAUUAUUGUAUAAUCAAGUACACAUGGCAUUUUUAAAAGCUUUUUCUUUAUUUAAAGCUCUAAAGGUUUGCCUAAGAGUCAAGGUUGGUGCCGUUCUUCUAGAAGAACAACCCGUAUCUUUUGAUAUUCAAAGUUUGAAUAUCAAGUUCAAACUUUAAAUUUUGAAAUAAUAAUAAUAAUAAAUAUAAAAAGUGCCAAAUUUUUAGCUAUAAAUAGAGGGGUUCACCCCCUCAUUUCACUCAUUCCAUUCUUUUCUUCUUUAGUUCUAUAAUGAGAGAGUAAGAGUUUUAUACUCUUGAGUGACUAGUGUUUAGAGAGAUUGGGUGUAUUAAGGUUUUGAUAAGUGAAACAAAAUACUAAAAUACUUAUAAUUCUCAUUUCACUAGUAAAGUUUUAUCCUUUUGUCCUUGCCUAUGGGCAUAAGUUAAAAGCCGAACCAAAUAAUUUAUGGUGUCCUCUGUGUGCUUGUUCUUCAUUUUCUUCCAAUUUCAUUUUAGUCGUGGCCCUACUUCACCAAUCAAUUUUCUAAUAGUGGUAUUAGAGCCGGGUUGUAUUUUUUGGGGUCGAGAUACUAUUUACAUAUAUUGUAUUGUUCAUGUAUAUGAUAUUGUUUCUGUAUACGACACUUUAUUCAUAUAUACAGUUACUGCUCAUGUGAAAUGGUAGGAAUCGAUCUUAGCAAAGGUAGCUCGUGGUGAAAAGUGAUGGCGGAAAAAUACAAAAUUGAGAAGUUCAACAGAAAUAAUUUUUCGUCAUGAAAAAUGAAGAUGAAGGUUGUAUUGAGGAAAAGUAAUUGCUUGGCAGCAAUUGAAGAGAGGCUCACAAAGAUAACUAAUGAUGGCAAGUGGAAUGAGAUAGACAAUAAUGCCAUUGCAUAUCUACACUUACCACUUUCAGAUAGGGUAUUUUUCAAUAUGGUAGAGUAAAAGAGAGUAAAGGAAAUAUGGUUUACUCUCACAAGACUAUACGAGGUCAAAUCACUACAAAAUAAAAUCUUCUUAAAGAUGAGGCUUUAUACUCUUCAAAUGGAGGAAUCUACAUCAGUGAUCGACCAUAUCAACACUUUAAAGACUUUAUUUUCAUAACUUACAACGUUGGGUCAUAAAAUAGAGGAAAAUAAACAUAUAGAGCUUUUACUUCAAGGUUUACCAGAUUCGUAUGAUCAAUUCGUCAUUAAUAUAACUAAUAACAAUCGAGCAAACAAGUUAGUCUUUGACAAUAUGGCAGCCUCCGUAUUAAAUGAGGAGAGUAGCAAAAAAUAAAAAAGAUAGACAGAAGAGUUCGCAACAAGUAGAAGCGCUAUUGGUGAUGAAAGGAAGAUCCAUGGAACGUGGCCCUAGUGAGAGCCACAGUCACGGUAGAUCAAAAUCUAGAAGUAAAAAGAAUGUCAAAUGCAACAACUGUUGCAAGAAAGGGCAUGUCAAGGAAGAGUUUUGGAACAACUAGAAGAGAAGAGAUGGUAAAGAUUCUGAGUCAUCAAAUGCUCAAGGGUAUGUAGUAAGUACCUCGUAUGAUGGCAAAAUUCUCUACAGUAAGGCAACAACUGCUUCAGAAGAUAGAAAACCACUAUAUGACAUCUGGCUUAUAGACUUAAUAGUUGCCUGGCACAUGAUCUCUCCAAGAGAAUGAUUUCACAAAUAUGAACCUAUUUCAAGAGAAUUUGUAUACAUAGGUGAUGAUUAUGCCUUUGAGAUUACUGAUAUUGGUACUGUCAAAAUAAAUAUGUUUAAUGGUAUGGUUCGCACAAUUGAGAAGGUAAGACAUGUCAAAGACUUGAAAAAUAUCUCUUGUCUUUAGGACAAAUAGAUAGUCUUACGCGCAAAACUCAUGUAGAAAAUGGGAUCAUAAAGAUAGUCAAAGGCGCACUUGCAUUAAUGAAGGUGGAAAAGAUCGGUGAUAAUUUAUUCAUGCUUAAAGGGAAACACUACAGAAAGCUUUUGUGUCAGUCACAUCAAAUAGAGAAAAUUCAGUGAUGAUGUGGCAUCUUAAACUUGGCCACAUGUCAAAACAAGGAAGCAACAUAGAUGAAAGUUUAGCAGAUCCACUUUCAAAAGUAAAUGUAUUUUAGACUUGAUUCAUUCUAAUGUUUGGGAAUCAAUUGAUAUAUCUAUGGGAGGUGCAAAGUACUUGGUGACUUUUAUUAAUGAUUAUUCUAGGAGAUAUUUGGUGUAUCCAAUCAAGAAAAGGUCAAAUGUAUUUCCAUUGUUCAAAGAAUUCAAAGCGUAGAUUGAACUUAAAUCAGGGCAAGGGAUCAAGUGCCUGAGGACAGACAAUGGUGGAGAGUAUACAAAUAGCAUGUUUCUUGCAUAUGUAAGCAAGAAAGUAUCUAGAGAUAGUUCACGGUGGCAUACACUCCUCAAUAAAAUAGAGUAGUAGAGUGAAAGGGCAUGACUCUUAUAAAAAAAAAAAGAGUUAUGUUGAGAAAUGCUGGUCUACCAACUCAUUCUAGGUGGAAGUAGCAAAAACUACUUAUUAUGUGGUAAGUGGGUCAUCAUUCAAUGCAACCGGGUUGAAAAUUCCAAUGGAAAAAAUAGACAGGAAAGCCAGUUGAUUACUCUCAUCUCAGGCAUUUUGAUGUCCUUUUACGUGAUAUACAAUACCCAAGUGAGAUUAAAGAUGGAUCCAAAAUCCAAGAGAUGUAUCUUCUUAGGAUAUAUUGAUGGAGUGAAAGGGUAUUAUCUGUGGGACCUCAAUGCCCAUAAGAUCGUUAUCAGUAGAGAUAUUAUCUUUGUAGAAGAUCAAAUGCAAAAGAGAGAUAUGGAUGAUAGCACUAUAAAAAUUCAGAGAUUGUGCUAAUAUAUGUUGAAAAUAAUCUGGAAAAUGAAGAUUUAGAUUUUUUUGAAGCAGCACCAAAGUAUGAGAACAAGAACCAAUCGAGUCUGAGGCCCCAAAAGUUUGUUGGUCAACUCGUGAUAGAUAAUUGUCAGUGUGGCAUUUGGAUUAUGUCACAGAUAUCAAUUUUGCAUACUGUCUUUUAAUAGAGAAUGGAAAGCCAUCAACUUUUCAUGAAACCUUAAACAGCUCAGAUGUUACUUUGUGAAUGAUAGCAAUGCAGGAAGAAAUUAAGGCUCUACACAAGAAUAUGACAUAGGAACUCGUACUACUACUAUAUGAAAAAAAAAAGACCCAUUGGUUGGAAAUGGGUCCAUAAGAUCAAACGUGAUGGUAAUAACCUAGUGGAGCGGUAUCAUGAAAGAUUGGUGAUGGAAGAAUAUCCUUAGAAAGAAUGUAUUAACUUCAAUGAGAUAUUUUCUCCAGUGAUUUGACUCAGGACAGUCAGAGUGGUCUUGUCGAUGUGUGCUACAUUUGACCUAUAUUUGGAGCAGUUAGAUGUGAAAAUUUCAUUUCUUUAUGGAGAACUUGAAGAAAAGAUUUCUAUGCUCUAACUAGAAGGUUUUACUAAAAAGGGACACUUGGUUUGCAAGUUAAACAAAUCUCUAUACGAUCUCAAACAUGCACCGAGAUGUUGAUAUAAGAGAUUUGAUCCAUUCAUCAUAAACCUUGGAUACAAUAGAAUCAGUUCAGACUGUUGUACAUAUUACAACAAGUUUGAUAAUAAUAAUUUCAUCAUUCUACUGUGGUAUGUUGAUGACAUAUUAGUAGCAGGCCCCAACAAAGAUCGAGUCCAAGAACUAAAGCACAGUUAACUAGGGAGUUUGAAAUAAAAGACUUAGAACCAGCAAACAAGAUUUUAGGGAUGCAAAUUCACCGAGAUAGUAAUAGCAAAAAGAUUUGGCUUUCUACCCCGCCUCCCAUUAAUUUCAAGUUAUUCUUAAGUAUUCAUCUAGUAAUGAAGUAGAGAAGAAGAGAUGUCUUGAGUACUGUAUGCAUCAGCAGUGGAAAAUUUAAGGUUCGCUAUGAUUUGUACAAGUAGUGGGAGAGGUUAGUCGAUACAUAGCGAAUCCUUGCAAAGAACAUUGGAAGACUAUUAAGAGGAUUCUGAGAUAUAUCAUAGGAACAUCAGAUGUUGCAUUAUGUUACGAAGGAUACUGUCAAGGGCCAUGUGCAUUCAGAUUUUGCAGAAAAUCUUAAUAAAAAAAAAUCCACUACUGGCUAAGUAUUUGCACCAGAAUGAGAAAUUGUUAGUUGGAUUUCAAAAUUGCAGACCAUUGUGGCUUUAUCAACAACAGAAGCAGAUUACAUAGCAGCUACACAAGCUUGGAUGAGCUAUUUAGAUACAAAGGUUACUGAAGGAGCUUGGGCAUAAAAUUUUUUAUGGCUUGUGAUAGUUAGAAUGCAAGGAAUCCAACCUUUUAUUUUAGGACAAAGAAUAUAGGAGUACAAUAUCACUUCUUCGUGAAGUAGUGAAAGAUAUAAGAGUGGAUACCAAGGAGAACUUAACAAAUGUUUUGCCCAAGCCUAUCAAUGCUGAUAAAUUUGUUUGGAGUAGAUCAUUUUACGGCCUAGUAGAGACAUAAACAACAUGACAGCGGCGAAGUAGAAAGGAUGGUGUGGAGAUUGAUUGAUUCUCAAUCAAAUUUCUAAGUGGGAGAAUAUCAAAGUCAAUGUCGCUUUUCUAGAAGAGCGACCAAUACCUUUUGAUAUUCAAAGUUUGAAUGUCAAGUUCAAACUUUGAAUUUAAUAUAUAUAUAUAUAUAUAUAUAUAUAUAUAUAUAUAUAUAUAUAUAUAUAUAUAUAUAAAUAGUGCCCAAAAUUUUAACUAUAAAUGAGGGGUUCACCCCUGCAUUUCAUUCUUUUCUUCUUCAAUUCUAGUGUGAGAGACUAAGAGUUUUAAUGCUCUUGAGUGAUUAGUGUUUUAAGAGAUUGAGUGGAUUGGGGUUCUGGGAAGUGAAACAAAAUAUUAUAAUACUAGUAAUCCUCAUUUCACCACUAAAGUUUUAUCUUUUGUCUUUACCCAUAGACGUAGGUUAAAAGUCGAACCACGUAAUUUUUAGUGUCCUCUGUGUGCUUGCUCUUCAUUUUCUUCCAAUUUUAUUUUAGCUAUGGACCUACUUCACCAGUAAAUUGAAGACGUUGGAACUGCGUGAUUUAGAUAGCCUCACAAGUUUCUGCUCUACCAAUUACACCUUCAAAUUCCCAUCUUUGCAAGAGUUAUGUGUGAUUGGUUGUCCCAAGAUGAAGAUUUUCACUACAGGAGAAUCAAUCACGCCGAGUAAACGUCUGCUAUGGAGAGACAGCGGAUCAACGGCGCUGGGCUAAUAAUGAUCUAAACACAACCAUACAACAAUUACAUGCUGAGAAGGUACGUAUAUACAUAUUACUCUCUAUCUCCCAUGAUAAAUUUUUACAAAAUUUGCUUUCUUAAAUACAAUAUAGAUAAGAUAUUUGAUGAAUAAGAAUUUUAUUUUAAGCUGUUGGCGGUGUCGUCGUCAUACUCUACGCAGUAGUACGACUAAUGUCAUAGGCUUCUUAUGACCUGGAGUUGCGAAUUUUUAGAAGAAAGUCUCAACUGGUAAUUAAUUUUUAUUUCAUUUAUUUAAUCCCAUGGCUUGUUUCGCAAUUUCAUCUGAAUUAUUUAGAAUGGGUCCCUCGGUUUACUGUUAAAUUUGCAAUGCAAUUUUAAUGAUCCUUUCAGACUUUUAUGGACAGAUUUUGCAAAAUUGAAUGUCUUUUAGUCUAGUUUAAUUUGAGUUUUUCUUUUUUUUUUUAGAGCUCCCCAUGUUUUCUAAAAUUUUAUAAUUCCUUGCAUACUUUUUAGGAUAAAAUUUCAUUAAAAGCCUUCAUAUUUUAUAAUUCCUUGAAAACUUGCAUACUUUUUCCUUUUUUUUUCUUGCCAAUUAUUUAUUGUCAUCAUUGCUGUUCUUUUAUUUUAGUUUGUGCUCUGUUUGUUCAUUGGGUUUGCUUUUCGGAAAGUUAGAAGGCAAGGAAAGUACUUAGAAAAUGUUCUUCCCUAUGAACACAUAAUUAACAGCUGAAUAUCAUUCAUUGGAUUAAAAAAAAUUAAAAUAAAAAAAAGUAAUAAGCCCAUUAUUCCUAGAACAAAUCCUUAAACCAUCAAACGUUAGCUAUGAACAAGUAUAUUGGUCUAUAGCAUAUUCAUAAUAUUUUCUCUGCUGUUCCUGUUAAAAUUUCUCUACUCAAUGAUCGCAGAAUAUCUGGAUACUGAUGAAGAUUUAAGUCACUCUUCUUCUAUGAAUAAGGUCGUUUUUCUUUUUUCUUCUAUUCAAAGUUUCCAUUCUGAGCAGUUCCCAUUUCCAUCUUCGUGAUCUUCUUGUGAUAGUGUGAGUUACAACCUGUCUGUUUCCUUUGUUUGAUCAUUGCAAGUUCAAAGACAUUUUAUUCUAGCUAAGCUCUUUGUAUGUAUUAUAACAUUUUUAUUCUCAAUAUAUAUAUGACUCAAUGAGAGGUCUUUUAUUAUAUUUAUGUCGUGAAUUUCUAUUGUAUUGUGACAUUUGAUGGUGUAUCAUUGUCUCAUUGCAAGGUCUUGUAAUCACUCUGAUUCUCAUUUGAGGAGGUUGGUCUCGUCUAUGUGUAUGUAUUUAUAUCCACAAGAAAUUUGAUAAAUGGUCUUGUCAUUUUCUCAUCAAAACAUCUAGUGCUUCAUAUGUUGGAGGGCUACCAGGCAUCAGGGCCAGUUUUUUAAACUCAAAGUUCUUCCUGUCAUUUUUUAACAAUAAUAAGGAAAGCCCAAGAGAAAAUCUAGAAGUCCUAAUAAGGACCGCUUCUGCAUAUAUUGUUCAUUUUCUUAAUUACCUUCAUUAUUAUUUUCGUUUUCAAUCGAUCAAACUUCAGUUUCUUAGCAUUAAUCUAAUUAUGUACUUCAUCUUGAAAUCCUUAAAUUACCCAUCAAAAUGUGAACGAUUAGUGUAUCAUUUUUGCACUAUAAGAAAUAGUUGUAUUACCGACCAGACAUUUCCACAAUAUACUAUUGAAAAUAAGUACUUUUUACAAAGGUAUUGUCAUUGAUGAGCCGUUGGAUAAAUAUGAAAAGUAUCAUACCUCGGUGAUAAAGAAAAUUCGUUUGUCGGAAAUGGAAUGUCGAGCCCAAAAUUACUCUAAACUUGGUAAAGUUAGAUUUUGGCCCAAUUUGUUUGAAAGUUUUAUACAUAAAGCACUUUUUUUUUUAUGUAAUUUGUGCAAUCUGAAGGGAGGUAUUGUAAAAUUAACAUAAAUAAAUGUAAUAUGCCAAUACCGUUUAAAACAAAAAAGAUAUCAUGAAAUUGAAAAAAAAUAAAUAAUAAUAAUAAUAACAACAUUAAAAGAAAAAGGAAAUUACGGAGAAGAAUAAUCGCUUCUUGAUCUCAACUCUCAAUUUGAAUACAAUCUCUGAAUCUCACUUCUCGAUCUGUCUCCAUUCUUCAUUCGCAUUUACUCGGUGGUAAUUAAUUCUUCACUCUCACUCGCCUUAUUUCCUGCAGAUUUCUUCAUUUUCCUUCACUGUUCGUUUUUAAGGUUCCAUUGUAUUUCCAUUGAGUUUGCAACUGUUCAAUUGCUCGAUCCACAUUAGUUUUAAGGUACGAUUGUUGGUUAUUUUCCUAAUCAAUAGACAACCCUAGAUACGAUCAUAGGAUUUAAUCAAUUGACAGUCUGAAAAAUCAGAGAGACCCAAAUCCUAAUCAACAAACGCAUACGAUGAUUCAUUUAAAUUAGAUUGUUUAUUCUCAUAACACAAUGCACUGCUAUGCUAUUUGUCACAAACAUUAAAAUCUUCAUACGAUAAAUCUUUUAAUUGACAAUAGAUUAAGUUGAUAAUUAAAUAGUAGCCAAUUAUCUAAUUAACAAACAUAAUCAUGACAAUAAUUCAGAGAAUAAACAAAUACCCAAAAAGUAAUAAAAUAAUUAAAGUAUAAGAAAGAUCUCACAGCAGUGAUGAAUCAAAGUUUCAUUAACCUUCAACCAGAAUAAUAGAUUUAGUUUUUCAUAGACAGGAGAGAAAAAUUUAGAUCUAGGGUUUCUUUCUCUUCAAAAAUCUCCGUCUUUGACAAUAGAUUCCUCCCUUAAAUUCUCUUCUCUCUCUUCUCCUCUAGAGUUCUUUUUAAAAUAAAAUACUAAUUUCUAAAAUAUUAUCUAAAUAUUAAAUGCGUAAUUACAAAAAUAACUAAAAAUACAAAACACGUUAAACUAAAAACUGCAGGUCCGUAGUAGACAGCAUGCGCCCACACCUUAUCAACAAAGUUCUUCUGAAGCUCAUAAUUUCUUCAAGAAAACAAUCAUCCUCAAACAUCAUCUUGUAGCUCAAUUUUAGCACCAAUCAAUAAAAUUGCACCUACCAAAAUAAAACACAAGUAAAUCACUAUUAUUAAGUGCAAAACAUCGAUAUUAAAAGAAGUAAAUAAUGCAAAACUAGUGCAUAAAUUGUACUCUAACACUUCAUUCCGAUCCCUUGAUCAUUACUCAUUUAUUUAUUUAUUCUUUGCUUCACUUCUAAGCUUAGCAAAGGAACUUGAACUUUGGCUUUUCAAAUAGGUCACUUUUGCUUUUAAUCUCGCCCAUGAUCUUCAUCAUGAAGAUGACAAACCAUUAUUCUUUAUUCUUCACUUUUGCUUUUAAUCUCGCCCAUGAUCUUCAUCGUGAAGAUGACAAACCAUUAUUCUUUAUUCUUCACUUGUUGAAUUUACAGAAUAUAUAGCAUUCUUAAAAUUUUAGCAAAUCGUUAUUCUUCAGCUUCAGCACCUCAUUAAAAAGUCAUUCUUUGAACUUAUUCUCAAUCAAGAAAAACAUAUGCGUUCGUUCGUUGUAGUCACUGUUGUUUUGUUAUUAAUGUUUGCUCCCUAUUGCCGUUAACUCUCUUGAGCUUCACAGGAUCAGGAAACCCUUUUCUCUUGGCAUCUGUUUUGUUGUAAUCUCUCAGUCCUUGUUGAUUAGUUUCUCUCCGCUCCCAAUUUAGUUGUGUCCUGCUGUUGUCUCUGUUUUGUUCCAUAUCUACUCUCUGCACUUCUGCUGUGUCAAGACAUCUUCUUUUGUUCAUUCGGUUGUGGUCUAUAAUAUAUUUUUCAUCUUUCUUUUGGUCUAUACUUAAGUUAUUUUGAUUGGUUCCUUUCUCCUUUAUUAUCUAAAUCCCUCCUUAUAUUUAUUCAAUCAGUUGUUACGCUUUCUUUCAUUUCUCCGCUUCCACAACCAGAUAAACUGUCCAUCUUUGUUGUUUCUUCUUUUUUCUCUUCUGUGGUUGGCUCUUGUUUAUUUGCUUUUCAGAACUCAAAAAAAAAAAAAAAAUAGAAGGAUCAAAGAUGGUGGAAACCAUUAUUACUGUUGUUUUGGAAGUUGUGAAAUGCUUGGCUCCUCUAGCAGAACGCCAACUUGGUUAUUUACGUAACUAUAAAACCAACUUUGAGAAUCUCAGGGCAAAAUUUGAUGAACUCAAGGAUGAAAGUAGGAGCAUUCAGCACAGAGUUUCUGAGGCUGAAAGAAAAGGAGAAAAGAUUGAAGAGAAGGUUGAAAAGUGGCUGGUUAGUGCAAACGACAUCAUUGACAGCGCAGCCAAAUUCAUUGAAAAUGAGGAGUCAACGAAUAAGCGUUGUCUCAAGGGCUUGUGUCCUAAUUUGAAGACCCGCUAUCAGCUUAGCAAGAAAGCAGAGACAGAAAUGAAGGCCCUUGUUGAACUUGGAGAAGAAGUAAAGAAGUUUGAUAUUGUUUCCCACCGUACCAUUCCGGAGGAGAUUUGGCUCAAGUCUCACAUAGGCUACGAGGCCUUCGAAUCAAGACGUUCUACUUUGGAGGCUAUAAAAAAAGCAUUGAUCGAUGUUAGCAUCAUUGGGGUGUACGGCAUGGGCGGCAUUGGAAAGACGACACUGGUGAAGGAGGUCUCCAGGCAAGCUAUGGAAGCCAAGCUCUUUGAUAUGGUGGUCUUUUCAGAGGUUUCGCAAACUCCAGACAUAAAAAAGAUUCAACAGGAAAUUGCCGAGAAGUUGGGCCUGGAGUUGCGCGAGGAAGUUGAAUCUGGAAGAGCAAGUAGACUAUUUGAGCGAUUGAGAAAUGAGAAGAAGAUCCUUGUGGUUUUAGAUAACAUCUGGAAACACCUUAAUUUGGAGACUGUUGGAAUUCCUUUUGCAGAAGAUCAUAAAGGAUGCAAACUACUGCUGACAGCAAGAGAUCGUAGUGUCCUCUUACAAAUGGGAUCCAAAGACAACUUUUUGAUAAACAACUUAAAAGAAGAAGAAGCCGGGAGAUUGUUUAAGAUGAUGGCCGGUGAUGAUGUUGAAAAUCGUGAGUUGAAAUCUACAGCAAUAGACGUCGCCAGGGCAUGUGGAGGUUUGCCCAUUGCCUUGAGUACGGUAGCAAAGGCAUUGAGAGGCAAGAGUCUGCAUGAAUGGAAGAAUUCCUUGCGAGAACUCCGAACGCCUUCAAUGGUAAACUUCGAAGGAGUAUCUGCAGAGACUUAUGCAAGUAUUGAGCUGAGUUUCAACCAAUUAAAAGGUGAACGCAAGGAAAUUUUUCAGCUCUGCAGUCUAAUGGGUAACCGUAUUUUUACUUUCGACUUGUUUAAGUACUCCAUGGGUUUGGGUAUAUUUAAAGGAGUCAAUAAGAUGGAAGAUGCACGAGACAAAUUAUAUGCAUUGGUCCAUGAACUUAGAGACUCUUGUUUGUUGCUUGAGGGUGAGAGCAAUGAACAAUUGUCAAUGCAUGAUGUUGUUCGCGAUGUCGCGAUAUCAAUUGCAUGCCGCCAGCAACAUGUGUUUUCGGUGAGGAAUGAGGAUGUGUGGGACUGGCCAGAUAAGGAUGCACUUCGAAAUUGCAAAGCUAUCUCUUUAAUAAAAAAUAGUAAUCGUGAAUUUCCUGAAGGAUUAGAAUGCCCAAACCUUGAAUUUUUAUAUAUCUCUCUCAAAGAUUUUUCUCUUGAAAUCAAUAUUCCUGAGAACUUUUUUGUAGGGAUGAAAAAGCUUAGAGUUCUAGAUUUUACUCGAAUGCAGUUUUCUUCUUUUCCAUCUUCAAUUGAUCUUCUAGUAAAUCUUCACACACUAUGUCUGGAUAAAAGUGCGUUGGGCGACAUAGCAAUCAUUGGGAAGUUGAAGAAUCUAGAAGUCCUUAGCUUUUUGAAGUCUGAUAUAACGCAGUUGCCAGAAGAACUAGGUCAAUUGAAUAAGUUGAGAUUGUUAGAUUUAACCAAUUGUUUCCGUCUGAAAGUUAUUGCCCCAAAUGUCAUAUCAAGCUUAAUCCGAUUAGAAGAGCUGUAUAUGGGUAAUUGCUCCAUUGAAUGGGAGGUUGAAAGAGCCAACAGCAAAAGAAGUAAUGCUAGCCUUGAUGAAUUGAUGCAUUUACCUCGGCUAACCACUCUAGAAAUUGAUGUUAAAAAUGACAGUAUGUUACCAGAAGGUUUUUUGGCCAGAAAGCUCGAAAGGUUCAAAAUAUCUAUUGGAAAUGGGUUAUUCACACAUCCCAUGAUUGCUGAACAAAAUUGGUUCCAAAGUCUGCGGCGCUUUUCUCGCAAAAGUGAUCGCAAGAGUUUAAGAGCAUUGAAGCUCAAGCUUGCUUUUAUGGACAUUUGCUCCAUGAAAUUGCAGGGCAUCAAUAACGUAGAAUGCUUAUGGUUGGACAAGCUGCAAGGCAUCGAGAAUGUUCUUUUCAAUUUGGACACAGAGGGCUUUUCACAAUUGAAGCUUCUCUGGGUUCAAAAUAAUCCUGACAUCUUUUGUAUCGUCGAUUCAAGGGCGAUGGUCGCUUGUGAUGCCUUUCCUCUUUUGGAGUCACUUGGCCUUCACAAUUUGAUCAACAUGGAGAGGAUAUGUAUUGAUCGGCUCAAAGUAGAGUCCUUCAACGAACUCAAAAUCAUACAAGCAUAUAAUUGUGAUAAAUUGAGUAAUAUCUUUUGGCUCUCUACAACAAAAUGCCUUCCAAGACUUGAGAGAAUUGCAGUUAUUAAUUGCAGCAAGAUGAAAGAGAUUUUUGCAAUUGGGGAAGAAGUUGAUAAUGCAAUUGAGAAGAUAGAGUUUGCUCAAUUAAGAUCUUUGAGUCUGGGGAAUCUUCCAGAGUUUACAAGUUUUUGCCGUGAGGUGAAGACUCCUUCAGCAUCACCAAACAGACCAGCGUCGCAGGAGGAAUCGACGACUACGUAUAGCUCCAGCGAAAUCACUUUGGAUACUUCAACUCUGCUUUUCAACGAGAAGGUGCGUAGGCUAACAUUUUCUUUAUUCUAUCAUGCGUUCUGUUUUGAUGUCAUACGUGGAAAAUAAUUAAAUCAUUUAAAGAAUUGAAAGAAAAUGGAAAAAAGGAUAAAAAGAAUCUCACGCGCUCACUAAUUGAGCUCUUAACAAGUAGUAUGAAUUAGAAUGCAUACUCAGCUGUCAGUUGGAAAUUGAUUCAGACUUGCAUUAAUUUGUAAUCAAAGAAGAAAAUUUCAACAAGUGCUUCCCAUAUGGAUAUUGGAUCUAACGAGAAAUUCUUCUUUUUUUAGGUUGCGUUGCCUAACUUGGAGGCUUUGGAGAUAUCUGCAAUUAAUGUCGACAAGAUUUGGCACUACAAUCAAAUUCCAGCGGCCGUGCUUCCUCACUUUCAAAGUUUAACACGAUUGAUUGUGUGGGGUUGUCACAAAUUAAAAUACAUAUUUUCAGCGUCUAUGAUCGGAAGCCUUAAGCAGCUCCGACACCUAGAUAUACGCUUCUGUGAGGAUUUAGAGGAGAUCAUUUCUGAAAACAGAGCAGAUGAAGUUAUCCCUUAUUUUGUCUUUCCACAGCUCACCACUCUAAGACUCGAAUGUCUACCAAAACUUAGAUGUUUGUACCCUGGAAUGCAUACUUCGGAAUGGCCCGCACUAGAAAUUCUUUUAGUGGGUCGUUGUGACAAAUUAAAGAUAUUCGAUGCAGAUUUAUCGCAGAAUAAUGAGAAUGAUCAACUUGGUAUUCCUGCACAACAGCCCCUAUUGCCGUUGGAAAAGGUACGAAGCCAUUUUCUAGAUUUUUUAUCAAUAGCGUAUUUUUAACUUCGAAAAAAAUGACAAAGCAUCGAUAAAUUAACACUCAAUAAAUUGAAAACUUUUAUUAUACAAUAAUCUUUGCUAGUCUAGAUUAAGAGAUCAAUGUGGUAGAUUAAUAAUUAUAUGAACUUUUUAAGGUAUAGCAUUUAUAAAAGAAUCCUUAGUCUUUCCAUAUAGAAGAACUUACAAAAUAAAUUAGUAAUUUAUUAUUGUGCAAUAAAAUAAUUUCAAACCAGUAUAAAUCAACCUUUUUUCCCUAAUUUCUUUUUUACCUCUAAAAUUAACAUAUAAAAUAAAUUUUAUCAAUAAUUCAUUUUUUUUUUAAAAUAUAAUAUAAAACAAAUACUAUAAAGUCACUGCGUGUGACCGUAGAUCAUCAAUUGACCUCAUUAGUUAUUAUGAUUGAUGAUGAUCAGAUCGUACCCAACUUGAAGGAACUAUCACUAAGUGGAAAAGAUGUGAAGAUGAUUUUGCAGGCCGAUUUCCCACAACACCUUUUUGGCAGUCUUAGAGAACUAGAGAUUGCUGCAGAUGACUCAGCUGGUUUUACAAUCUGGAACGUACUGGAGAGAUUUCACAAUCUCGAAAUACUCACACUGUUGUUUUUUUCAUCCCACGAAGAGCUAUUUUCGAUGGAAGGAUGCUUACAGAAACAUGUGGGGAAGUUGGCAAUGAUAAAAGAAUUACAGCUGCGCUGGCACUAUCAUCUGGAGCAGCUGUGCAAGCAAGACUCCAAACUUGGCCCCAUUUUUCAGUAUCUUGAAAUUCUAAAAGUAUAUCAUUGUCAAAGUCUGUUAAUUCUAUUGCCAUCAUCAUCGGUAUCUUUUGGGAACCUAACAAAACUUGUAGCUUUCGGUUGCAAGGAAUUGAUACACUUGGUAACAUCCUCCACAGCAAAAACUCUGGUGCGACUCAUAGCAAUAGAAAUAUAUGGAUGCAGAGCAAUGACAGAGGUGGUAAUAAAUGACAAAGAUGGAGUUGAAAAAGAAGAGAUUGUUUUUAGCAAAUUGAAGACGUUGGGACUGUUUGAUUUAGAUAGCCUCACAAGUUUCUGUUCUGCCAAUUACACCUUCAAAUUCCCAUCUUUGGAAUAUCUGGAUGUGAUUGGUUGUCCCAAGAUGAAGAUUUUCACUACAGGAGAAUCAAUCACGCCUCUAAGAGUAAACGUCUGCUAUGGAGAGACAGCGGAUCAACGGCGCUGGGCUAAUAAUGAUCUAAACACAAACAUACAACAAUUACAUGCUGAGAAGGUACGUAUAUACAUAUUACUCUCUAUCUCCCAUGAUAAAUUUUUACAAAAUUUGCUUUCUUAAAUACAAUAUAGAUAAGAUAUUUGUUAUAAAGUAAGUUUAAAUUGAUGAAUAAGAAUUUUACUUUCAGCUGUUGGCGGUGUCGUCGUCAUACUCUACGCAGUACGACUAAUUUCAUAGGCUUCUUAUGACUUGGAGUUGCGAAUUUUUAGAAGAAAGUCUCAACUGGUAAUUAAUUUUUAUUUCAUUUAUUUAAUCCCAUGUCUUGUUUCACAAUUUCAUCUGAAUUAUUUAGAAUGGGUCCCUCGGUUUACUGUUAAAUUUGCAAUGCAAUUUUAAUGAUCCUUUCAGACAUUUAUGGACAGAUUUUGCAAAAUUGAAUGUCUUUUAGUCUAGUUUAAUUUGAGUUUUUCAUUUUUUUUUUAGAGCUCCCCUUGUUUUCUAAAAUUUUAUAAUUCCUUGCAUACUUUUUAUGAUAAAGUUUCAUUAAAAGCCUUCAUAUUUUAUAAUUCCUUGAAAACGUGCAUACUUUUUCCUUUUUUUCUUUGCCAAUUAUUUAUUGUCAUCAUUGCUGUUCUUUUAUUUUAGUUUGUGCUCUAUUUGUUCAUUGGGUUUGCUUUUCGGAAAGUUAGAAGGCAAGGAAAGUACUUAGAAAAUAUUCUUCCCUAUGAACACAUAAUUAACAGCUGAAUAUCAUUCAUUGGAUUAAAAAAAAUUUAAAAUAAAAAGAAAGUAAUCAGCCCAUUAUUCCUAGAACAAAUCCUUAAACCAUCAAACGUUAGCUAUGAACAAGUAUAUUGGUCUAUAGCAUAUUCAUAAUAUUUUCUCUGCUGUUCCUGUUAAAAUUUCUCUACUCUAUGAUUGCAAAAUGUCUGGAUACUGAUGAAGAUUUAAGUCACUCUUCUUCUGUGAAUAAGGUCGUUUUUCUUUUUUCCUCUAUUCAAAGUUUCCAUUCUGAUGGGUUCCCAUUUCCAUCUUCGUGAUCUUCUUGUGAUAGUGUGAGUUACAACCUGUCUGUUUCCUUUGUUUGAUCAUCACAAGUUCAAAGACAUUUUAUUCUAGCUAAGCUCUGUGUAUGUAUUAUAACAUUUUUAUUCUCAAUAUAUAUGACUCAAUGAGAGGUCUUUUAUUAUAUAUAUGUCGUGAAUUUCUAUUGUAUUUUGACAUUUGAUGGUGUAUCAUUGUCUCAUUGCAAGGUCUUUUAAUCACUCUGAUUCUCAUUUGAGGAGGUUGGUCUCGUCUAUGUGUAUGUAUUUAUAUCCACAAGAAAUUUGAUAAAUGGUCUUGUCAUUUUCUCAUCAAAACAUCUGGUGCUUCAUAUGUUGGAGGGUUACCAGGCAUCAGGGCCAGAUUUUUAAACUCAAAGUUCUUCGUGUCAUUUUUUAACAAUAAUAAGGAAAGCCCAAGAGAAAAUCUAGAAGUCCUAAUAAGGACCGCUUCUACAUAUAUUGUUCAUUUUCUUAAUUACCUUCAUUAUUAUUUUCGUUUUCAAUCGAUCAAACUUCAGUUUCUUCAUCUUGAAAUCCUUAAUUUACUCAUCAAAAUGUGAACGCUUAGUGUAUCAUUUUUACACUAUAAGAAAUAGUCGUAUUACCGACCAGACAUUUCCACAAUAUACUAUUCAAAAUAAGUACUUUUUACGAAGGUAUUGUCAUUGACGAGCCGUUGGAUAAAUAUGAAAAGUAUCAUUCCUUGGUGAUAAAGAAAAUUCGUUUGUCGGAAAUGGAAUGUCGAGCCCAAAAUUACUCUAAACUUGGUAAAGUUAGAUUUUGGCCCAAUUUGUUUGAAAGUUUUAUACAUAAAGCACUUUUUUUUUUUUAUGUAAUUUGUGCAAUCUGAAGGGAGGUAUUGUAAAAUUAACAUAAAUAAAUGUAAUAUGCCAAUACCGUUUAAAACAAAAAAGAAAUCAUGAAAUUGAAAAUAUAUAUAUAAUAAUAAUAAUAACAACAUUAAAAGAAAAAAGGGGAUUACGGAGAAGAAGAAUCUCUUCUGGAUCACAACUCUCAAUUUCACUCAGUGGUAAUUAAUUCUUCACUCUCACUCGCCUUAUUUCCUGCGGAUUUCUUCAUUUUCCUUCACUGUUCAUUUUUAAGGUUCCAUUGUAUUUCCAUUGAGUUUGCAACUGUUCAAUUGAUCGAUCCUUAUUAGUUUUGGGACUUCAAUGACCAUAGAAGAAGAUUCUCACAGACAACUCUUCCUUCUUUUGUCUUUGUUUUUUUUUUUAUUUGUUUAUGCAUGUUUCCUUUGCUGAUUUAUUUACUUAUUUCUUUCUCUGAUGUCCCAAUUUAUCCUAUGAUAUUUCAAUUGAUGUAUUACGUUCAUGUUAUGUUUAUGGAUGCUUGCUCUACUGUCCUAAUUUACAAUUAAAUUUUACUCCGUCCUUAGCUAUCGAUUCACAGUGGUGUGUCAUUAAUAUGUACUUGUCUUAUUUUAUAUUUCAUUAACUAUUAUUUCAACAAUUGCUGCAGGUGUCAAAUAAUGAAUUUGUAUGAGCUUCAGUCCAAGGUAAUUAUCUUUUUCAUUUCAUGUUAUUUGAUCUCUAGGUUUAUUUUAUCGUUUCAUCUAAAUUAUUUGGAAUGCAUCAGCUGGUUUAUUCUUAAUUUUGGAACGAAUUUGAUGCAGCAGAUGGUUGCGAAGGAUGAGUGGAGUAUCUCUCUAGGGUAACAACUUGAGCUAUAAGUAUCUAUUUAGGGUGCAUAAUAUACAUUUCGAAGUUCGCGACGAGGGGAAUCUAAUCUAAUACUGUAGCGCCGCAUUAGUCUCGUGGUUCGAUUGAAAAUUAUAUUUAUUUCAUAUUAUUUUACAAGUUUAAGAUCUAUUUUCCUAUUGUUUUCGGGAUUUUUAUCUUUUUUUUUUUUCUAGAUAUAGAAUUUGAGUAACAUUUAUCUUAUUUCAGUUAGGAGAAUGUUAUUAUGUAGUAAUAUGUAGGUUUACUUAUUUUGGUAAAUUUGUGAUAUUUAAGUUUAGUUUAAAAGAAGUCCAAAACCUUAAUUUUGUUAUUCAGACUUUCAUUAAUAAAAUAUAAAACUUUCUAAAAAAGAAAAUGCUCGUCUGGUACCUAUAUUUUAACUUCAAUGCUCGUUUAGUUUUUAUAUUUUAAAAAAUACCUCAAUAUACCUUGAUAUUAAAUACGUUACAUUUUUCCUUAAAUUUUAUUUACUUUUACAAUAAUAUCUUGGCAAUAAUAUUCUUAAAUUAAUUAAUUUAUUUAUAAAAAAGUUAAUUGGAAAAUUAAUCAAGAAAUAUCAAUAUGAAAUAACCAGUAUUUUUUGUACUUUUACAACAAUCUUGCCAAUAAUUCUUUAUAAAUAAAUUAAUAGCAGCCAUCUUAAAGUAAUGUUUAAUAUUCUUAAAGCAAUCUUACUAAUAAAUGCAUAAAAAAUUUAAUUUACGAAAUUAGUCCUAAAACUAAAAUAAUAACAUAAAAGUUUUUAUUAAUAUUUAUUUUGUUUAAGGCUGGCUAGAUGAAUUACCAUUUUUUUCUUUUCAUUGAUAUUCCCAAAAAUAUUAUUCCAACACAGUAGGGGUGUCUUGAGGUUAGGGAUGGCAAUGGGGAGGGGAGGGGAGGGGACUAAUCUCCCCGUACCCAUCCCCGAUAUUUUGCGUAUGUCCUCGUCCCCUCCCCGUCCCCGUCCCCGUCAGAAUUACUUGAGAGAAUCUUCAUCCCCUCCCCGAAUAAUAACAGAGGAUCCCCGAUCCCCGAAUAACUAAUACAUUUUUUUUUUUCAAUUUUGAGUUAAUUAUAUUAAAAUAAAAAAAUUCAAAUAAAAGUAAAUUUCGAAAUAUAUCUUACAUGAAUAUCUAUUUCAAAAGUCACAUACAUUAAAUUAGUAAGUAACGCAGCAUGCAAGGGAUACAAACUAUCAUGAACAAAUUAAUAGUCUAAUACAAAAUUGUUACAAAUAAAAUCGAAUUUAGAUUCAAAAUUAACUUUUUCAAUGGUGGCGUGGGCACUUUAUAAAUGUGGACUAUUCCCUUUACAGCACAAUAGUUAAGUCCGAGCAAAUCAAGAGCAAAUAUUAGAUUAGAUUAGAUAUUAAAAUUGUGAUUCGCUGUGGGCAAUUAUAACAUCUAAAAAUAAAUAAAUAAAUAGAUUUAAGUUUAAAAUAUUUAAUGAAUAUUAAAAUUAAAACAAAAUUUUUGGGCUAAUAGAAUCUACUGGUCUUUUUAAUGUCCUAAAUAAAAAUUUAAGACUUUAAUUUGUUAAUUAGGCCUAAAAGUUUAAUAAUAUAAAUAUUUUGAUAUUUGUUAUUUUUACCAAUAUUUAUAAUUUUAUAAUUUAUUUACUAGUAAUUUUAAAAAAUAAAAAUAAAAUUAAAAAUUAAAAUGGGGAAAUGGGUAGGGUAUGGGGAUUCCACCUCAUCGCCGUCCCCUCCCUAAAUAAGAAAUUGGGUAAAAAAAUUUGCCCGUCCCUUCCCCGAAUAAGAAAUUGGGUAUGAAAUUAUCCUCAUACCCUCCCCGAAUAGGGAAAAUCCCCGAUGGUACCCGUCCCCGUGGGGAUUUUUGCCAUCCCUACUUGAGGUUGAGGCACUUUUUAAAAUAUAAGAACUAAAUGCGCUCUCAAGUCAAAAUAUAGAGACUAAAUGAACAUUUAUUCCUUUUAAAAAGCUUGUGUUUCUCUAUCUUUUCAAUCUCAAUGUUUUUGUUUCCGUUUCAUCAUAAGUUCUAAUGUUUGGUUCUCAUCUUAAUGUGCAAAUUUUACAUCAUUGAAGGUCUUUUGAUCUGAGUUAAGAUCAUAAAAUUAUACUUGCAUUGGUCAGGUUAUACGAAAAUUGUACAAAAUAAUAUUCUUAUAUAACUGUUGUCCUCUGUUAUUACGGAAUCCCCAAGUUCUGAAGAAGGUCGAAAUCAGGUCUCUCUACUGUGAAGCCCCUGGAAUAAGAGCUACAAAUGUGUUACCGUUGAAAGCAUGGCAGAAAACUUAGUACUUAAUUCAGACUCUUUGUGGCUUCAAUAUUUUACUUAACAUGAAAAAUUCUUUCUAGCUUGCAUCAUUGUAAAGAUAAAUUGUCGCAGUUCUGACAAUGAACAAGUAUAAAUGUCCACAGAGAAAAGUACUGAACAAUUAAUGUUAACAGCAAUCGAUUGGUGUGAGCGCCAACCACCAUUUUCAUAUUUAAGCCUUUAGAACAGCAAAACAAAAUACGGCAAGUGGCAACCACAUCAAAUAAUCAAAUUGUUGAUAGAUUUUGAAAGCUUUAAUUUGCUUGAUAUAUAUUUAAAUAUUUCAACAGAUGAUCUUUUCGCUACUCACGGGGCACGCUGAGUUAGAAACGGUUUGGAUGUCAAUAUUACUCCAAGUGCCUCAACCAAAUUCAGAAUGAAAAAAAACCAUCUGGUUACCUGCACUUUUGUUUAAGCAGCUAAUGAAGCUAAUUAGCACGAAAUAGUACACAAACUCGCGAGAAAUUUCAUUAGUAGAUCAUCAUCCUGGGAGGAAACCAGCAUCUUGACGCUUUUGUGAUCAAGAAAAUCUGCCAGAACCCCAAUUAAUGAAAAAGAAAUUAUAACAUCAUUUACGUAUAGUUUUACAAAAUCAACAGGACACUCACAGAGCACCUCCUACAGCUGGACCGGCAGUUUUGGUAAGCGACACUACAGUCAUAGCAAGUCCAUUAGCAGCUCCUCUUUGAUGCUGUUCCUUUUGUUGUGGCAUAAACCAACAAAUUAAAUUUAAACUUUGACACAUACAAAAUUUGAAAAAGCUGAAAGCAUGUAAAUGUACUAAACAAACAAAAGAAAAAAAAUAUUUACCACUGCUCUGUUUUGCAGAAGGAAUAAUCUAGUUAUUAUAGACACCUGAUAUUAUAAUUCAGGAAUAGUAAAAUAGAAUUACAACAUUUCUAAUAAAAAAAGACACAAAAUAAUUUUAUACAUACUUGAUGGAUAAUAUAACCUAAGUAUAUGGAUCAAUGAUUAGGAUAUCCACUUACAGCUAAAACAUUCUUCAUCACAGAAGCACAGUUUAUCAAAAAGGCAAGGCUGAACCCAGAUAGCAUUGCUAUGUAAGUGUAACUUGUCAAAAGCGGUAUCGAUAAAACCUGUACAUACAUAGAAAAUUAUGGGACCAAAACCAUGAAGAAAAGUAUUUUAUAAACAAAUAUGUUUGAAACAAACUAUCAAAUGGUCUAAAUGCCACAUGGUGUGUUCAAAAUUAUUGUUCUGUUUUAGUGACAAAACACUCAUCCCAUGACAUUGAGCUAUCAAUUCUCAUGGAUUCGUCACGCUUGAAAGGUUUGGUAGUUGUUCUGUUUUAUCUUCAGUUUCAUUUGUGAUCACAGAAACGUUAGGACUUGCGUGCAUGAAAGCACAUUAAAAUUUGAAAGUUCUGAAGAAGAUUCAGGUCACUCGCGUGCAGCCUCUGGAAUAAGAGCUGUGUUACUGUUUAAAAGUUUUCAUGCUGUGGGGCUUCCAUCUUCAUUAUUCUACGAAUGCUUAACUUCACUAUUCUACGAAUGCUUCACUUCACUACAUUGACAGCGUUGAAAGUGUAACUAAAACCCUUGCUUUCACAAGCAAGCAUCGGUGAAUGAAAAAGAAAGUCUCUCUCGAAGGUAAUUGACAGAGGAGCAAUCUUCUUACUCUUUAACUAAAUAUCAGAAAUACAAGGUUAAGGCAGCUAGGGUUGCGAAGGAGAAGGAUCGUUCCCGGAUUUUGCCUGCUUCAAGUUGUUGGGCUUGGUGAACCAAGUUGUGUACACGAAUUGCUUAUGAGGGCCCACAUGGUUGCAGACAAGCCUGAGCUUUUGUCUCUCCCUCAUGUCUCACAUUUUAUGAUGAAUCAAAUUGAACUCCCAACACGGUAGUUCAUAAAAUAUGCUUUUCUUCUUCCAAGUAAUCUUAUCAUUUCUCUCAUUUUAUUCAUUCUCCACUUUUCAAGUCUUCAAUCUUAAACUCAGUAAGGAUAUUAUUCAACUGCUUUUUCACUUCAGCUCCAGACAUCCGAGAAGGUGCUUGUCCCCACUCUCUAGAUUUAUCAAAAGGCACUAUAUUUUCGAAACCUAUGAUUCGUCAGUAAAAAUCGACGUUACCGACGUGACAAAAUUUUCUACUAUGUAUCAACCAAUUAGAUCUAGUGUUUUGUUGGCAAACAAGAAAUGCUUAUUUACCUUUAAUACUCCACUCAGACAAGUUGGCAUGUGCUAGAAAGUCACUGAUAGUCCAUAACAAUGCUGUGUGUGAAUUGAAUAUUUGAUUACGUGAUGUAUCAUGUAUCAUUCCAACCAUAUCAUCAUCAGCACCCGAGUCAUGACUAACCUGUUUCUUGGUUAGAUUCCAAAGAUGAAGAUGGCUCACCAUGCAAUAUCCAGUUUUAAUACUUUAACCAAAAACCAUUUAUAAUGAUAUGGUCUCUUGCUACUUCCCUUAAAACGAAAUAUUCGACACUUCUUACAAGGAUAAUAAAUUCUUGCAUCACCAACAACAUUCUCAAAUGCAAAAUCUAUAACUUAGAUAUCUAUUUGCCAAACCAACCCAACUCUUCUCCAUUACCAUCUCCUUUUAAUGCACUACAAAAAUUAGUUAGAUAAAUCAUUUUAGUUUUUCAUUUCUACUACUGACCAAGAUAUUUUCGUGUGUGCACAGUUUUGCAAUAUAAUUAAAAAAUCAUUAUACAAUUUUAUGGUUAAUUUCAUUAGAAUUUAUAUAUAUGAAAGCAAGUAAAGCGACAAGAAUCAGAGAAAAAGACGUGAAAAUUAAAGUAUAUAUACAACAAUAAUUAAUGUAAAAAACAGUUUCCAAUACCUUCUGUAAAGAAAUAUCCUCACCCACAGCUGAGAACUUCAGUUGGUUAUCAAUUACAGAUACAAAGCAUGUUACCUAGAAACAAAAAAAAAGGUCAGCCAGCUGAAACAUAUUUAUAAACCAACAUUGGAGAUAGUACUCCAUUUAUAAACAAAAUUACAAGCUCAAAACCAAGUUAACUCAGCAAAACUAUAACCGAUUACGUCCAUCCAACUCAGCUCCUCCACUCCCAUCAAUAUGUCCAACACUCCCUUCAUAUUUACAAAAGGUAAGUGGUCCCGUAUAUCCCUCUCAAGAAUGCAUAAGUUUCUUCAAUCUCAAGUACUUUAAAGUUUUCUUCUACGUUUAUAGAAAUUUCGGCAGCAUCUCCCUUUAGUUCUCCAAGCAACGACAUAGAUAUAUGAGUGUUUAUGUGUUAUCUAGUAUGCACCCAAAGAAGAUGAGAAGCAGCUUGCGAAAAACUCAUUUUUACGUGGGAAAAAAACUUCAGCUACUAGCUACCAUAGAAAACUAUGCAUUCCCAAACAGUUCAAGCCUAGACAAUUCAAGAAUUAUUAAUAGGCAUAUGAUCCUCACUAUCAUCCAAAGAUGACACUAAUAAAACAUGUGUCUAUUAAUAAUUUCUUAAACGAUCUAAGCUUUCAAUGCAUGUAUUGAAAGUUUAAAAUUCAAUCUGAAAUUUGAAUAACACAUAAAUAUCAUAAAUCUCUUCAAUUUGUUCCUAAUACAAUGUAGCAUUAUUACGCGCAUCAUUUCUUAAGCAAAUCCAUAAAAAAUACAAACAAUAAAUACAUUUUCUAGCACUGAUGCAGAUUAUGUUUACUAAGCAAUAAGUUUUAAGUCAUUCAUGUUAAAAUACUUUUUCCUAUUCUUUCAACAUAUAACUAGUACGUGCACACAAUUAAUAAAUUAAAUAUAACCUGGUUGUGAAUCUCGCAAAAAUCUUCCUAUUUUUUUUUUUUUGGUUGGGGGGGGGGGGGGGGGGUGUGAGCUGCUUGUGAAUCUUGCAAAUCCUCGGGAAGGCAUGUUAAGUCAAGGCCAACUUACUAUUAGGGUAUGAAAGAUAUAACCUUUUUUUUCCCUUUUCAGAGUAAAAAGAACAUUGACAGUGUUAAAAAAAUCUAGAGGAUUUCAGGCCCAUAUCCUAACAAAUCAAGGAUAUUAGAAAAAUUUACUGAGGAUAUAGUUUAUGCUCAAUUGUAUCUUGCAGGAAGAAAUUGAUAAGCCUCAGUUUCAAUUAGCUUCAUUAUAGCCAAUGAUUAGGUGUUUAAAAACCAAUGAAUAUUUUUAUAAGAAAUCAACCGUAUUGUCGGAAGAAAAACCAAAUAAAAAUAACAAAGCCAAUGAACAGACUAAUGCUCUUUAUGGUCUAAUAACUAAAAACCAAUGAGUAUUUUUAUAAGAAAUCAACAGUAUUGUUGGAAGAAAAACCAAAUAAAAAUAACAAAGCCAAUGAACAGAUUAACGCUCUUUAUGGUCUAAUAACUAAUCAAACUAAGUUGUGGGUAAAGGCGAAUAUGUUUGUUUGGUCAAUAAUAAGCUCAACGAAUCACUAAUAAGCACCUAAUCACUAUUCCUUAUGCUAUGCAAUGUAAUGGCCUGGGUAAUGGCAGCAAGGCAGGCAAGAACUAGCUAGCCAGUUAUGAUAGUUGAUUAAGAAACUUGAUUAUAUGUAUAUUUUUGUUUGCCACAUUUAAAGAGAAUUUUCCAAAGAUGCUAAGAUACACCAAAUCCCACUAUUUCCAUACUCAUAAAAACAAAAAGCCAUGGCAAAAAUGAAUGACUAUAUAAAAUAAAAUAGGUCAUAGGACAUUGAGAUUAAGGCAACAUGAUUUGUAUACCAUAAAAUAACUAUAUCUGCAUAGUCAAUUAUAUUUCUGUUAGAACUCUAAAGUUUUCAUUUAAAUUUUUUUCCCUGUUAUGUAAACCAUUUAACUGAAAUGCUUAAGCCAAUAUUAACAAUCAUAGACAUACAAGUAUUAAUAGGCUCGUUCAAGUGAAAUGAGCAUUAUUUCUCAUAUCCUUUAGGUUUUUAAGUCAUUUAGAAGUCAUUCAUGUUAAAAAAUUUCUUCAUAUACUUUCAUUAUAAUUAGUACAUAGACAAUUAUUUAAAUAAAUAAAUCUGUUUCUGCUAGUACAGGAAAUUAAUUAAUCAAAGCUAGUAGUUAUAGCUAGGACUUGAAUGAGGCACCUUUCAGAGUUCAAGAGGAGCAUCUGAACAGAACCUUUAUAGAAAUGGCAAUGACGCUUUACAUCUACAUGCUCUUACACAAUAUGGACUUUCAUUUAUUCAAGAACAUAACACUACUCCAAGCUCUUAUUCUACAAGUUAAUUCAGUUUAUAUUAUAAUUUCUGAAAAUAGAACGUAACAUUAUUAAUAUAGAAUCAGCAAUAUAUAUAACUUAUCAGACAAUAUAACAUGCACUUGGUGAGCAUACAAGAUAAACAAGUUAUCUAGAAAAUGAAACUAAAACCCAAGCUCCGCUAUUCAUUGUAGAAGCUUUAAACAUAAAAUUAAAGUAAAUCUAAUAGCAAAACAUUAGAAUGGAUGUUGGAAUUAAAGCUAAAUUCAAUAGUAAUUCAAAUGAAUCCAUUUGAACUUUGUAGAACAAAAUUAAUUUGAGUGAGCAAACACACCAAUGGAACAAGAACACAGGGCUUCAACUUGUAGGAAUAAAAACAAUUGCUGGCGAGACAAAAAUUGACAAUAACGACUACAAUACGAAUUAAAAAGAAUCAAAAUCUAUAAUUACAAGCUAAGUAAGAGAAGAAACUCAUAAUCACAAGCUUAACUCAAAAGAUGAAGGGAGAAUACGAUGAAGAAGAAGAUGCCCGGUGUUUUACGCCGUUCGCCGGCAACCAGUUAGGUUUACGAUGGAGUCCAGCGAAUAGUUUUCUAACUGGAAAUAAAUUUAAAAUUCUAAAAUAGUAGUAUACCGAACGGCUCUUUACCGUCACGUGGUUAGUAACAUAUGUGACAGCAGUGUGGCUGUCACAUAAAGGGUAACAAAAGCAACUCGGGGUUACAAAGAAGUUAGUGAUAUACGUAAUGGCUGCUUUUGCAUUCGCAUUAGGGGUCACAUAUACCAUAUUUUCUUGUAGUACAUGGUAAAUUCUAUUUGAAAAUUGCUAAGUAUUUUAGAUUUGUAUGAAUUCAUUUUUGUGUGCUCGUUGGAUAAUAAUAUAUAAUAAAUCAAAUUUUUGGUGUAAUUUUCACAAUAUUGUAUUAUAAAUAUGUCUCGUUGAAAGGUUUUGAAAUCGUUUUGAUUGAUCAUAAUUGAUAUUUCCACAUUUGCAAAAGAUGCCAGAGAAAAUCUGAUUAUCUUAAGAAAUGAGUGCAUGAGAUAUGAAAUCAACCAUAUAAUAAAAUCAAAUUUUAUUGUGUCAUCCUUCUUGGUUCAAAUUUAUGGAAACAAUAAUCAAAUGCAUCCAUGAACUAGCUAGUAUAUUCCGACACAUGUACCAUCAAAUUUUUGCUAUGUCAUACUUAUAUUUUGAAAUUUUAAUAACAACAAUUGGGCCAAGCAUAUGUUGGUACUUGAAGAUUUAUAAGCUCCAUCCUUGAAAAAAUAAGGCUUGACUGUCCUCAAUCUAAUUCUUUUUGUUUUAAGUUCCUAAUUAAGCUUUCUUGCUUGUUUUCAAGAGCCAGUUUUGUAAUGAUCGACAAACAUGAUUUGCAUAUAUUGCACUUGGUAUUUAUGUGUCACUUAUUAAUUAGAUUUAAAUUUUAUAAAUUAAUUAAGCUGAUUAAUACUUUAUGUUGAUGCAGAAAUCUAGUUGAGUUGGUUGUUGACUCAAAACCACAUCCCCGCAUCAGUAAUAAAUUUGUUUGGUGAAGAAGCGGCUUAUUAAUCUUCAAGAAAAUCCUCUAACCAUGAGCAGAUAAUUCAUGAGCCGAUAAUCUAUGAGCUGUUGAUUAGUGAGCACCAUGAGCAGAUAAUCCACGAGCUGCUGAUCAGUGAGCACCGUGAGCAGAUGUUCUAUGAGCAGAUGAUCCAUGAGCAGAUAACCCGCGAGCAUGCAAGCACAAAGAACAGUCAGGGGGCGCUAGAAGUUUUUCUGGUGAAAACCCUCCGACGCUCAAGUCACAAUAUUGUAUCCAACCAAUAAAAACUAAAAGAUCCAAAAGUUACAAGUUCUAACACCACCCAAAUAAAGGCAUGUUAGGAUUGUUUUUGGGAAGCUCAAAAGUGAUUUUAAAAACUAAAAGCUAAUUUUUAAUGUUUUAUAAAUUUAAAAACUAAAAGUUCUAACACCACCCAAAUAAAGGCAUGUUAGGAUUGUUUUUGGGAAUCUCAAAAGUGAUUUUAAAUAUUAAUGGUGCGUUUACUUCUUGGAAUAGGAAUGAGGUGGAAUGGGAAUGGACUGGAAAGGAAAUGAGGAAUGGGAAUGAGAUUUCAAUGUUUACUUGGCAAAAAUAAAUGGGAAUGGGAAUGUGCUGGAAUGCAAUUGAUGUGUUUACUUGGAAAAAUAAAUGAGAAUGAGAAUCAAUUUACCAUAAUACCCAUAGUAUUAAUAAUUAAUAAAAAUAAUUAAUUUAUCAUUAUUGUUGUUAUUAUUACUAUUAUUACUAUUAAAAAUAAUAUUAACAAUAAUUAAUAAUAACUAAAAUAAUAAAGUUAAUAAAAUAUUAUUAAAUUUUAUUAACUCUAUUAUUUUAGUUAUUAUUAAUUAUUGUUAAUAUUAUUUUUAUUAAUAUUAUCAUUAUUAACAUUUAUUAUUAUUAUUAAUAUUAUUAUUAUAUUUUAUUAACUUUAUUAUUUUAGUUAUUAUUAAUUACUGUUAAUAUUAUUUUCAUUAAUAUUAUCAUUAUUAACAUUUAUUAUUAUUAUUAUUAUUAUUAAAUUUUAUUAAAUUUAUUACUUUAGUUACUAUUAAUUAUUGCUAUUUUUAUUUUUAUUAAUAUUAUCAUUAUUAAAUUUUAUUAUUAUUAUUUUAAUUAAUAUCAUUUUAAUAAUAAUAUUUAUACAUGUAUCUAGAUAAUGAAAAUUACAUUAUUAUUAUUAUUAUUAUUAUUAUUAUUAAAUUUUAUUAACUUUAUUAUUUUAGUUAUUAUUACUUAUUGUUAUUAUUAUUAUUAAUAAUAAUAAUAAUAAUAACAAAAAUAAUGAUAAUAUUGUUAAUAAUGAUAAAUUAAUUAUUUUUUAUUAAUUAUUAUUUUUAUCAUUAUUUUUAUUGUUAAUAAUAAUAAUAUUAAUAAAAAUAAUUAAUAAUAACUAAAAUAAUAAAGUUAAUAAAAUUUAAUAAUAAUAAUAUUAUUAUUAUUAUUAAUGAAAUUUUAAAUAAUAAAAUUAAUUGUGAUUUGAAUGAGGGUAAUUUGGGAAAUAUGAAAAAAUUAGAGGGAUACAAAAGUAAAUAUAUAUUUCAUUCUCAUUCCCUCAUUUUUAUUCCCAACCCCUCAUGGGCUUGGGAUUCCCAUUCUUUAUUCCCAAAUUGUGUGAGACCCACACAUUUUAUUCUCAUUCCCAAAUUAUAUUUUGCCAAGUAAACAUGGGUUUCAUUCUCAUUCUUUCAUUCACAUUCCUCAUUCCAUGAAGUAAACAUACCAUAAAAGCUAAGUUUUAGUGUUUUAUAAAUUUUUUUAGUAAUUACUUUUGGUAAAAUCAUCUCAUCAUACAGUAGAUUUUGAAAAGUAGUGAAUGAAUAGUUUUUCAAAAUUUGAUUUUGAGAAUUACUUUUAUACUUAAUCCAAUUCUAUAUAUAUCCUCAUUAUAUAAUAAAAAUCCAAAAUUAUCUUUAUGAAUUAAGAAAUAAAAUCAUUAACUUAAAAUAGAUUAUUAUUAUUAUUACCAAUUAUAUUGAGAUAACAAAAUAGAGAAUACAAUUUAAUAAUAUAAAAUAUUUAUUUUAGUUAUCAAUAAUUAUAUGUACAUAAUAAAAAUAUUUUAUAUACAUGUUUGUAAAUGUGUAAAUAAAUUUUAUUUAGCAUUAUGUUCAAUUCAGUCAUUUAUAUUUUUUCACCAGUUUAAUAAUAAAAUUUACGAAACACAUACGUCUGCUUUUAAAACUAAAAGUACUUUUAAAAAUAAAUUUUACUAAAUGUUCAGCUGAUUCUCUUCACAAUUGAUCAAUUUCUACAGCAUAACUAACUGAAAUUAUUUUAAAAAUAAAAUUACCAAACUGACCCUAAAUCAAACCAAUAAAAAUGUUUAAAAGUAAUAAAAAUAAACCAAAGUAAAUGUACAAAAAUUCAUGCAUAAAUUGAUAAUCAACAAAAACAACCAAAAGUUUAACUCCAAGUUUUCUGUUCAAUUGACAUAACCCUUAAAUUUCAAAAGGCAUAAUCAAUUUUGUGUCUAAUCCUAUAAAAUUAGAAAAUUAAUGAAUUCAAGGGCAAAGCUACAUUGCAACAUGCCUUUGGUACCCCUCUCUUUUGUCUUUUUAAAGGUCAAUUAUAAUAGUGUCCUGGUAUUUGUUAUAAAAAUGAAAAUGUUGAAAAUUUUUAAAAUUUUACGCAUUAGUCCUACACCUACACAGUAUCAUUUUUCUCAUCCAUUUUGCACCAUCAAUGACAUCAUUUUUCUCACCCAUUUUAAUUAAAAGGUAAUUAAAAUUAUUUUCCAUAUAGAAACAGAAUAAUAAAAUAAAUUUUUUAUUCUUAUUUUUUAAUUAAUUAUAAAAAGAUAUUUUGUAUUAAAACAAUCACUAGUGACUACUGUUUCUUCGCGUGCAAUGAUAUUUUUAAUCGAAAGGGGACAUGAAGGGUUCCAUUAUAUUUGAAAUUGGAUGAUUUACAUAAAGAUAGUCUCAAUGCUAGCAAAUGGUGAUAUGUAAAGUUGCAUGCUCCUUCUAAAAUAACUGCAACAAUAACUAUACCACAAAAACACAAGGAGUUACAUUACACUACCACCUUUUCUUUUCUUUUCUUUUCUUUUUUUUUUUAAAUUUAGAGACCCUCAAUUUGGUUGUUAAAGGCAAUGAACCUUAAAACGUGAUGUAGGAAGCAUAUUAGAUAAAAUGAAUUAGAAUUUACUAGAAAUUAUAAUAUUUGGGUCAAUUUAAAAUUUAAUAUUUUAUUAAAAUUUAUCUUAUUUAUUAAGCUUACUUGAGUCAUAUUUGUAAUUCUAACCUAAUUAGGAUUUCAGAUUAUUUCUCUUAUUUGAGAAAGAUUAGCUACUAUUAUAUAUAUAAACUUGUUAUUCUUAAUUUAUGAUAACAGACACAAACUUCUUAUUAAUAAUUUUUAAUUUUUUCAUAAUUGAGAUAUCUUCUCCUUGGUGAGAGCAUCUUUUUAAAGUUUUCAAGACAUAAAUCAUAUUAGAGUUUUUUUCUGUACCAGGCAGAGCAUUCUCGACCACCAACUCCAUACAUUAGUUCCAUCAAGUUAAAAAAAAAAAACCCAACAAAACCCGAAGCCACCAUCACAUCCGUGCCACACGGCUGCCGCCGCCACUGGUUUCUCUUCUUUUUGGUCGAUCCUCUCUCCCAUCCAAAAGCCCUCACGUCGCCAAUCAUAACCCAACCCAUAACACCACCAUCCCGUCACCGUAGCCACGGGAAACUAGCCAAAACAGCCGCUGAACCACCACGAAAAUCCACCUCUCUAUUCGCUGCAAUCCGUUGCGAUUCACAUCCUCCACCACCACCCAUUCGUCCACGAUCAUCAGCUCUUUCUUUUCAACCCACUCACGCUGCCAACCCUCGGCCGGAUCGCCAGAAACUGAAACCAACCUCCACCCACUACUUUAACUCAACUUUUCAAUCAAAUCACAACUAUUUGAGACAAAUCACCACCAGCAUCACACUCAACACCAUCAAAUCUUCUAGAUCCACCUAUCCUAGGCCAAAUUUUCGACCAUCGUCGCUGGCAACACCAACUUUUGCCUAUUUAUAAUUUUGCCCCUUUACUUUUCUAUACUUAUACUAUUACCUAUAAUUUUAUGUUCUUUAAAAAACACCCAAAAACCAAACAAACUUAUAAAAAAAUAAAUAAAUUAGAAUUUACUAGGAAUUAUAAUAUUUGGGUCAAUUUAAAAUUUUGUAUUUUAUUAGGAUUUAUCUUAUUUUAUUAAGCUUACUUGAGUCAUAUUUGUAAUUCUAAUCUAAUUAGGAUUUUAGAUUAUUUCUCUUAUUUGAGAAAGAUAAGGAUUAAUUUAGCUACUAUUAUAUAUAUAGGCUUUUUAUUCUUAAUUUAUGAUAACAGACACAAGCUUCUCAUUAAUAAUAUUCAGUUUUUUCUCAAUUAAAAUAUCUCCUCUUUGAUGAGAGUCUCUUUCUUGAGUUUUCAAGACGUAUAAUAGAACGAAAUCUAGUAUCGCUUCCGCCCUGCGUUAAAAUGUCAUCUAAUCAUAGGGUCUUGUUAUAGUUGUUUGCAUUGGAAGGCUCAUCUAUCGCCGACAUAUCUAUUUAUCCGGCAACAUUGCCACCAUUACAUUGAUCAGAGAAUUUUGAAUACGUUGAUAGUUUUUUGUUUUUCUGUUCACUCACGUCUAUUUCUUAGUGAUGAUACCGUCAUUGUUGUCAUUGGUGGUGCAAUAAUUUUUAGCAAUAUUAUUUUGAUUUUUCAUUUGAUUUACAAAACUUAAAUAUUAAAUAUAAUACUUAAUUUUAGUCUCAUACACUUAAAUAUUACUAAUAUUCAAGUUCAUGGAUGGAUAUUGAAUAAAUCAAAUUCAGAGUAUUUUAUAUGGAUACUAUCCAAUCUAUUCAGAUCAGAUACUUAGACAUCCAACUUGAAUGGAUUUGUUUGCUCUUUCUAGCUGUUAACUUGAUUAAUAAUUCUAUUGGGUUUGGUUUUAAAACUCCUAAUAUGAUAAUUCAUUCAUGACACAAUUAAUUAUUCACUUAAUUAUAUUAAUUGACUUCUAUUUUAAUUGAUAGAUAUGUGUUGAAUUGUCAUCUCUAUUGUUAUCCAUGUGUGAUGUUAGCAAGAAAGAAGAAAGAAUAGAAAAUACUUAUUUUUAGUUUUUUUUAAAGAAAUAUUUAAAUUAUUUUCAAAUAGAGUAAUUGUUUAGAAUUUUUUUACCCUUCUCUCCGAUAAGUUAAUGACUAUUUAAAUAGUUGGGGUGGAGUAACAAAUACCAAUUUAUUUAAGCGUGCAAUUAAAUUAUUAUUAUUUAUUUAAGGACAAAAACUCAUUGUUAAAAAAAAGAUUUUACAAGUUAAUAAACUAACAUUUUAUUAUUAUUAGUAAAUUAACAUAUUUUUACUAUAUAAUUAAAUAGUUGAUAGUAUGUUUAAUAAAUAUUAUGUUACAAAAAAAAUUAACUACAUAGAAUAUGAAAUUAAGUUUAUUUUUGUAUUUUGUAUAUUUCAUCUACUUGAGAUAAUAAAAUCUCUUGUGUUGAAAAACAAAAUUAUGGGUUUUGAACCUUGUUCACAUAGGUGAGAGAUAAUUGGUUGCCAUUAUGUUAAAUUAAAAAAAAAAGAUCAUAUUUAUACUUAUCACUAAUUAUGGUUAGUAAAUAAUAUACAUGCAUUGUUUAACUAUAUAACAAAGUAGUUAAUUAAUUAAUUAAUUAAUUAAUUAAUUAAUUUAAAUAGAUAUUAAUAUAUGUAAGAAUAAGUCAUUUAAUUGGAAACCUAUUUCAAUGGAGUUAAAAAAAAAAGAGAGAAUAUUAUGGACUUAUAUGUCAAAUUUCAAAACUUUUGAUUUUGUUUAUUUUGCAUGAACAAUAAGGGUCUUUGAUGUUAAUAACCCAAUAAUCACAUCUCAGCCAUUACGCAAUUCUUACAUUAAAUCCAACGGUAGGUUUGAAAAAGACAAAAAAUAGGGUACCAAACCCCACGGGUAUUGUAGUUGGACCCUGAAAUUCAAACUCCUUUCACUUUUCUGUUGUUUGGUUUUCACUAAUAUAUGGGAAUUUAAUUUCUAUUUAAAUUUAAUUUUCAUCAAAUUGUGCAUUUUGGAUUCCCCACCGAAGGCUGUAAAAUUCAAAUUCUCCUCCUAUUAGAAAUCGAAUCUUCCAAAAUUGCUCCUCUCAAAUAUUUAUCAAUUAUUUUAAUUCUUAUCAAAUAAUUCUUAUUUAUGAUUUUAUUUUUUCAAUUUAAAUUGUCACUAAGGAGCCUGACUUACUACCACAGAAAAGCAAAAAUACAAUUUAUAGAUUAUGAUAAUUCCAUGUAUUGUAUGAGAAUUGCAAUCUAAAAAUUUUCCCUACAAAACUUUAAAGAAAUUAUUAUUAUUACCAAUUAUAUGGACAUAACAAAAUAGAGAAUAAAAUUUAAUAAUAUAAAAUAUUUAUUUUAGUUAUCAAUAAUUAUAUGUACGUAAUAAAAAUAUUUUAUAUACGUGUUUGUAAAUGUCUAAAUAAAUUUUAUUUAGCAUUAUGUCCGAUUCAGUCAUUUACAUUCUUGCACUGAUUUAACAAUAAGAUUUAUGAAACACAUACGACUGCUUUUAAAACUAAAUGUACUUUUUAAAAUAAAAUUUACUAAAUGUUCGGUUGAUUCUUUUCACAAUUUAUCAAUUUCUACAGCAUAGCUAACUGUAAUUAAUUUUAAAGAUAUAGGAUUACCAAACUAACCCUAAAUCAAACCAAUAAAAAUGUUUAAAAGUAAUAAUAAGAAACCAAAAUAAACGUACAAAAAUUCAUGCAUAAAUUGAUAAUCAACAAAAGCAUCCAAAAGUUUUACUCCAAGUUUUCUAUUCAAUUGACAUAACACUUAAAUUUCAAAAGGCAUAAUCAAUUUUGUGUCUAAUCCUAUAAAAUUAGAAAAUUAAAUAAUAUUAUAUACUAAUAAUUAAAUAAUAUGCAAUUAAUAAUGUUUAAAAAAUAAUGUUAAACAUAUUGUCAACUAAAAUAAUUGGGAGAAUUGGAGUUCCAAGAUAAAUUCUUAUCGAGUCCCAAAUCAACAAUUGGGAUUAAUUUCAAUCUUAAACUCCGAAACUCCGACUGCUUUUAAAAUUGGUCCUAAUAAUAUGAACAAAUCCCAUUCUGAUCAGUAUGGGAUCCCAAUCCCAUACCUUUGGAUUUCGAUGGUAUUUAGUUGGAGGGAGAAGAGAGGAAGGAAAUGAAUUCAAAUUCCUUUCACUUUUCUGUUGUUUGGUUUUCACUAAUAAAUGGGAAUUCAAUUUCUAUUGAAAUUUAAUUUUCAUCAAAUUGUGCAUUUUGGAUUCGUCACCGAAGGCUGUAAAAUUCAAAUUCCCCUCCGAUUAGAAAUCGAAUCUUCCAAAAUUGCUCCUCUCAAAUAUUUAUCAAUUAUUUUAAUUCUUGUCAAAUAAUUCUUAUUUAUGAUUUUAUUUUUUCAAUUUAAAUCGUCACUAAGGAGUCUAACUUACUACCACAGAAAAUCAAAAAUACAAUUUAUAGAUUAUGAUAAUUUUACGUAUUGUAUGAGAAUUGCAAUCCAAAAAUUUUCCCUACAAAACGCUUUUUAAUCGACAGCAAAUACAUGCUUUCAAAUUUAGUCAGCUGAACUAAUUUUUGUUUUUUUGGAUUAAUUUUGAAAUGUUGCAUCCAUAACGAGCUGGUAUUGAAAUUAAUGUUAACAACAAAAAUAGAUGCAAAAGGAGAAAUAAGCAUCAUGGCCAUUAAUAUUUUGACAUUCAAUGUUGAUUUUGAUCCCACUAAAUUAAGCCAUCAAAAAUUGCUGGGAAGGGAGUAAUAUCUAUUUAUAACUGGAAAUUACUCACCGUACAAUGAUGAUUGGAGCUGCAUGUAUCAUUUAUUAUUAACAAUUAACUUAUGAAAUGCUUUGAAUGUACCUCCUAGGUCGUAUUUACUACACUAGUUAGGAGAAAUUACGAUGUUAAAUUAUUUGAUAAAUACUUAUUAUAAUUUGAAAAAUAUGUCACAUUUGUCCUCCACUUUAUGAUAAAAAAUUUAAAAUAUAUAUAAAUCAUUCAUUUUAUAAUCUUGAACUUUAUUAAAGUUCGAAAAACUAGUAUUACUCUAUAUGAUAUAAUAGUGUGAUGUUGUUACACUAUUUUACCAUAUAAAAUAUAUUUGCUUUCUUAUAUAUAAUGGUUCUGACAUCCUUAUUUUAACAAAGUGAUGAUAUCACUAACAAACUAAAUAACACAUAUUUCAAUACACCAAUAGAUUAAAAAGAUACAGUUCUUAAUGUGUUAAAAUAUAUGUUUCUUGUAUAUUAUUGAUAUUUUCACUUUAACAAAGCGAGGGUCUCCUCACUAUAGAAGUACUUUAUAAAUAUUCUUUGUAUUUUUGUGAAAAUUAUUAUUUAAAAGUCAUAUCUUACCAAAGACUAAUAGUUUUUAUUUUAUCACUAUACCGUACUUUUGAAGAUAGAACACCUCAAUACCAUGACCUUAAUUUUUGAACUCUGCUGUACAAAGUUGUUGGCUGGUCUAUUUAGUUUAGUCUUUCAAUUAUUUGUCGUUUGAACUGAGAUGAUCCGAAUAAAGCUAUAUAUCAAUAAUUUCCUAGUGAAACUUCGGGAAAAAAAAUAAAAAUCCUCUCAUAUAGUGGCAUUAUUUUAAUUCUCAGCUUGAUUAUGUUUUGAGUUAACUUAUAGAUUAUUUGAAAUAAAAAGAAUAUAAUUUAUUUUUCUAACUAAAUAUUUUUAAAUAAUUUUGUUAAUUUAAUGAGUAAUUAUACACUUACAAAGUUAUGAUAUAAAAUUUAAUCUAAUUUAGCUAAGAUGUCCAAUUUAAUACUAAGAGCAAUGUUAAGGAUCCCAAUAAUUGAGUCUCAGCUGAUAUGAUAGUCAUUUAUUAGAUAAUCGAAAUAUUAAUUUUAUUAGUUAUGAAAUUUAUUAUCUAAUAAAAAAAUAACACAUAACAAUUGGGUCUCAAGUUAGAAUUCUACUAUCGAAAUUCCUAACAUUAUUCUCAAAUUAAAAAUUCAUCAAAAUAAUAUCUAUUAUCUAAAAAUAUAAAUAUAAAUAUAAAACCAUAGAUUUACUCUUCAAUCUUCGUGAUUUGGCCGAUUUCUCUUAAAGCUUUGGUUUCUUUAUAAGUGCAACGAGAAAUAGUAAGAAGAUUAAAAAAGCAAUAAAGUAAAACUUUAAAAUUUUUAUUUCUUUAUAUUUUUAUCGGUCAUUUGACCGGUACUGGCGUUUGAUUUUCUGACCGAGCUACUGUUUAGUUCUAAGUUUUGGCAAUUAGAACUGGUGGAUGUCGACUGUUCAAUAAUGAUGGCAGCAUUGACGCAGUGGAAUAAGGAUCACAUAUCUCAAACUUUAGGUGAUGAUAUUGUUAGAUAUUUCAUUGAUUGAGGAUCACAUGUUUUAUGACCACUAUUGUUAGAUAUUUUAUUGACUUACUAUGUAAGUCAAGCAAUUAUUUUUAAAUAAUGAUAUUAUAAUUAAAAAUCAAGAAAUAUUUAUAAUACUUAAAGACUAAUUCAGAUUAUUAUUAUUUUAUAUGACUUAAUUAUUAGCUGACAAAUAAUUAAAAGGUCAUAGAACAAUAUUUUUAGGUCAAAUUUGUAUUCUAAUAUGACACAACUUGUACUUUCAUUCCUAUGCUAAAAUAUAUCUAACCUACUAAUAGUCAAGAAAUAUAUCUAUUCAUCACAUACUUGUUAGAAAGAUUAUCUACUAAUUAAUCAUUGAGACGAGAUUACGAGUCUCAACAUAAAUUAGGAUAAAAAUUAAUACAUUGAAAUUCAGAACAUUUCUUUUUCCUCCUUCUGCAGUUUAAAAAGGAGUCGCCCACGAGUACUGAAAUAAUUUUAUCAGAUUCGCUUGAAAGUAGUUUUACGAGCAAGCAGUUUUUCCCUCUUGAUCCCCGUAUUCGUCAGCUCCUACUCUUUGCCUUCAAUUCUCAGUCAAGUAGUAUCAGUUUUUGUUGUCAGCUCUCUUGAAUUUCACUGGAUCAAGUUUUCUCUUGGCAUCUGUUUUGUUGUAAUCUCCAGUCUUUGUUAAUUAGUUUCUCUCCAUUCCCAAUCUUGUUGUGGCCUGCUGUUGUCUCUGUUUGGUUCCAUAUCUACCCUUUGUACUUCUACCGUGUCAAGAUACCUUCAUUUUUUCCAUCUCUAUUACCAGUCAAUAUUUUUUCCGUCUUUCUUCUGGUCAAUUCUUCAGUUAUUCUGAUUGGUUCCCUUCGCCUCUAUUAUCUAAAUCAUUCCUUAUAUUAAUUCAAUCAGUUCUCGAACUAGAAAUUUUUUCCUUGUUUCCAUCUUCUCACCAGAUCCAUAACAGCUUUUACUCUUUCUUUCAUUUCUCCGCUUCCAAAACCGGAUAAACUGUCCAUCUUCGUUGUUUCGUUUUUUUUUUUUUUCACUCCCUCUUUGUUUCGC